CAGCCAAAAGUGGCAGACUUCGGCCUGUCAAAGUUACAGAACAGAGGAGGAAUCAACAAUUCGAGAUUGUCGAGGAUCAGAGGAACAAGAGGUUACAUGGCUCCAGAAUGGGUUUUGAACCUCCCCAUCACCUCCAAAGUAGACGUUUAUAGCUAUGGUAUUGUGGUUCUGGAGAUGGUUACCGGCCGAAGGAGUGCUUCAAUGGCCAUCCACGGUACAGAUGGCAUAGGGGAACGUCAGAGUUUGGUGGCAUGGGUGAAAGGGAAGAUGAAUGGAGCAACUGCAGUUGCUUCGUGGAUGAAAGAAAUCCUAGACCCGUCGAUGGAAGGCGAAUAUGACAUGGGUGAGAUGGAAAUUCUAGUAGCAGUGGCUUUGCAAUGUGUGGAAUUGGACAAGGAUGAAAGACCCACCAUGAGUCACGUGGUCGAGACGCUUCUCCGCCCUGAACGUGGAAACAAUCUUCACUACUAAUAAAUUAAUGCCUCGUAUGGGGCCCAAGUGAGGUGGCUUUCUGUCUUUUCUCAAUAGUACAGUAAUUUAAAAAAAUUAUGCUUAAAUUAUUGUAGUAGAAGAAGUUAUUACAAAUAUAUGGUAGUUUUUGCCACAUAGGAGAGAGGAGAGAGGGUGAGAGGGUGAGAGAGGAGAGAGGAGAGAGGGUGAGAGAGAGGAGAGAGGAGAGAGGGUGAACGGAUAAAUUUUUUUAAAAAAGGGAACUCGUCUCUUAAAGAGACGAGUUCCAUGAAAAAAAAAAUCCUAUUUACUCAAGGGAACUCGUCUUUUCAAGAGACAAGUUCCAUGAAAAAAGACAAGGGAAAGACGAGUUCCCAGGGAAAAAUAAUAUUUUUUUUUUUAAAUUAUUUUUUAUUUAAAAAAAAUCCUAAAUUAAAUUUAAAAAAAAAAAAUUUUCUAAAGGGAACUCGUCUCUUUGGGAAAUUUUUUUUUUUUUAAAUAUAUUUUUUAUUUAAAAAAAAACCCAAAUUAAAAAAAAAAAUUCCUAAAGGGAAUUCGUCUUUUCAAAAGACAAGUUCCCAUGUAAAAAAAUUUUUUUUUUUUUAAAUAUAUAUAUAUUUUUUUAAAAAAAUUUCCUAAAGGGAACUCGUCUCUUGAAGAGACGAGUUCCAUGGGAAAAAAAAUAUUUUUUUUUUAAAAUAUAUUUUUUGUUUUAAAAAAAAUCUCAAAUUAAAAAAAAUAAAAAAAAAUCGAAGAGACGAGAAAAAAAAUAUUUUUUUUUAAAAUAUAAGAGACGAGUUCCCUUUAGGAAUUUUUUUUUUUUAAUUUGGGAUUUUUUUUAAAUAAAAAAUAUAUUUUAAAAAAAAUAUUUUUUUUUUCCUAUGGGAACUCGUCUCUUCAAGAGACGAGUUCCCUUUAGGAAUUUUUUUUUAAAUAUAUAUAUUUUAAAAAAAUAUAUAUAUAUUUUUUUACAUGAGAACUCGUCUCUUCAAGAGACGAGUUCCCUUUAGGAAUUGUUUUUUUUUUUUAAUUUAUUUAAUAUAUAUUUAAAAAAAAAAAUUUUACAUGGGAACUCGUCUCUUGAAGAGACGAGUCCCUUUGGAAUUGUUUUUUUUUUUUUUUUUUUUUUUUUUUUUUUUAUUUGGGAUUUUUUUUAAUAAAAAAUAUAUUUAAAAAUAUAUAUAUUUUUUUCCCAUGGGAACUUGUCUCUGGGGUCCCCUUUAGGAAAUUUUUUUUUUAAAAAUAUAUUUUUUAAAAAAAAAAAUUUUUUUUNNNNNNNNNNNNNNNNNNNNNNNNNNNNNNNNNNNNNNNNNNNNNNNNNNNNNNNNNNNNNNNNNNNNNNNNNNNNNNNNNNNNNNNNNNNNNNNNNNNNAGAAACACCACACCAUACAGAUGCAAACCAUCUCAACUGCUCCAAUUGCGCACGCAAACCAGAGGAUGAACUGUAAUAACACUUCAUUUUCGUGGGCUUUUGCAUAAGAUUUUACUAGCUGCUCUGAGCGGUUGCCUGAGCAAUCUAACAUGAAUUCCUUAACCGGUUUUUCAUCCCAUUGAGAAUUUUUUUUUAAAAAUUUUUUUUUUAAAAAAAAAUAUAUAUUUUUUUUUUCCUGGGAAAUUGUUUUUUCAAGGGAAGGGUUCCCCUUUGGAAAUUUUUUUUUUUUUUAAAUUUUUUAAUAUAUAUUUAAAAAAAAAAAUUUUACCUGGGAACUUGUUUUUUGAAGAGACGGGUCCCUUUGGAAAUGUUUUUUUUUUUUUUUUUUUUUUUUUUUUUUUUAUUUGGGAUUUUUUUUAAUAAAAAAUAUAUUUAAAAAUAUAUAUAUUUUUUUCCCAUGGGAACUUGUCUCUUGAGUUCCCUUUAGGAAUUUUUUUUUUAAAUAUAUAUAUUUUAAAAAAAAAAAUAUUUUUUUUUACAUGGGAACUUGUCUCUUCAAGAAACGAGUUCCCUUUAGGAAUUUUGAGGAANNNNNNNNNNNNNNNNNNNNNNNNNNNNNNNNNNNNNNNNNNNNNNNNNNNNNNNNNNNNNNNNNNNNNNNNNNNNNNNNNNNNNNNNNNNNNNNNNNNNUUUUUUUAAAAAAAUAUUUUUUUAAAAAAAAUAUAUAUAUUUUUUUUCCAGGGAAAUUGUUUUUUCAAGGGAAGGGUUCCCCUUUGGAAAAGGUUUUUUUUUUUAAUUUUUUUAAAAAAAUUUAAAAAAAAAAAUUUUUCCCGGGGAAUUGUCUCUUGAAGAGACGAGUCCCUUUGGAAUUGUUUUUUUUUUUUUUUUUUUUUUUUUUUUUUUUAUUUGGGAUUUUUUUUAAUAAAAAAUAUAUUUAAAAAUAUAUAUAUUUUUUUCCCAUGGGAACUUGUCUCUUGAGUUCCCUUUAGGAAUUUUUUUUUUAAAUAUAUAUAUUUUAAAAAAAAAAAUAUUUUUUUUUACAUGGGAACUUGUCUCUUCAAGAAACGAGUUCCCUUUAGGAAUUUUGAGGAAUUGUUUUUUUUUUUAAUAUAUAUAUUUAAAAAAAAAUAAAGAGACGAGUUCCUUUUGGAAUUGUUUUUUUUUUUUUUUUUUUUUAAUUUGGGAUUUUUUUAAAUAAAAAAUAUAUAUUUUUUUAAAAAAAAAAUUUUCCCAAAGGGAACUCGUCUCUUGAAGAGACGAGUUCCCUUUAGGAAUUUUUUUAUUUUAUUUUUUUUAAUUUGGGAACUUUUUUUAAAUAAAAAAUAUAUUUAAAAAAAAAUAUUUUUUUUCAUAUGGGAACUCGUCUCUUCAGACGAGUUCCCUUUAGGAAUUUUUUUUUUUAAAUAUAUAUAUAUUUUUUUAAAAAAAAUAUUUUUUUUACAUGGAAACUCGUCUCUUGAAGAGAUGAGUUCCAUUUAGGAUUUUUUUUUAAAUAAAAAAUAUAUUUAAAAAAAAUAUUUUUUUUUCCCAUGGGAACUCAUCUCUUGAAGAGACGAGUUCCUUUUAGGAAAUUUUUUUUUUUUAAUUUGGGAUUUUUUUAAAAUAAAAAAUAUAUUUAAAAAAAAUAUUUUUUUUCCCAUGGGAACUAGUUCCCUUUAGUUCCAAAUUGUUUUUUUUUUUUUUUAAUUUGUGAAUUUUUAAAAAAAAUAUAUAUAUAUUUUUUUAAUGAGAACUCAUCUAUUGAAGAAACGAGUUUCCUUGAAGAAUUGUCUUUUUUUUUUUUUUUUUUAAUUUGAGAAUUUUUUUAAAAAUAUAUAUAUAUAUAUUUUUUCAUGGAACUCGUCUCUUGAAGAGACGAGUUCCCUUGAGUAAAUGGGGAAUUUUCUUUAAAAAAAAUAUAUUUUUUUUUUCAUGGAACUCGUCUCGUCUCUUGAAGAGACGAGUUCCCUUUUUUAAAAAAAUUUAUCCGUUCACCCUCUCUCCUCUCUCCUCUCUCCUUUCUCCUCUCUCCUAUGUGGCAAAAACUACCAUAUAUUUGUAAUAACUUCUUCUACUACAAUAAUUUAAGCAUAACUUUUUAAAAUUACUGUACUAUUGAGAAAAGUCCGCUUUCUGUACCUGUUCCGCCCAUUUAUGAUAUUUGUAAAAGAACAGAGUAAUUUUAAGUAGAAUAAUUGAGAAGCCAAAUCUUUUGAUACAACAUACAAUAUAAUUAUAUUGAAGUGUAAAAAGAUACAACUUGGUUGUAAGUUUUAAUCUCAACCUUCUCAAAUGUUAAGCAAAAAAUUAUUUAAUUUUUUUUUAAAACAAAUCUUUAAUAUUAUGUCACUGUAUUAAAGUAUUUCUUAAGAGGUAACUUGAUUACCAAAAGUUGAUAUUAUUUUUUAAUUCAAAUUUAUAAUUAUAAUUUAUAAAUAAAUUUUUAAUUAUUAUAAAAUACAAAACUUCUUACUUGAUCAAUUAGAAUGGAUGAUCAUUUAUUCCCUUAUAUCUCUUCAAUAUUGUUGCUACCCACGUGCCUAUUUUAUAUAAGAUAAAGAUUUUACUAAUAAAUAUUACAUAGAAUUUUGUUCCCAAUAUCUGUCCUUCAUUGCUUAGGAAAUUUUGAUGAAUGUGAAAGGGAAAUGGAAAAUUGUGGGUCACCAUAUAACAUAGAAGGACAAAAAUGGCAUUUUAUUGGUCUUGCAUAGAUGGAGGUGGAAAUGGGGCAACACAUCAAAUCUGACAUGGUGGAUGACAUGUAAAAUACAAUAUUAAAUAAUGAUUGAAAAUGAAAUGAAUCGAGUCACCCAGCAAAAGUCUAUUUUCAAGUAUUUCAUUAGAUUUUUUUUUUUCAACCCAGGACCUCUUUCUGUAAAUUUAUUAUUAAAAAUAUUUUAAUCCCUAACUUUUUGUGAGUGUCUUUUCGUAAACCUGUUGACCUAAACUAAUUGAGGUUAUGUUUGGCUUUCCCAAAAGAAACAAAAAUACUAAAAAUAUAAUGUUUUUUCUCUUAUUUAUAUAUUUUUAAAUUAUUUAAUCUAAAACAAUGAAAGGUAAAUAAAAUUUUAUAAAAAUAAUUUAUUAAUUUUAAAUUCUUAUUUUAUUUUUAUUCAUUUGACAUACCUUCGAUAAUUAGUAUAAAAUUAAUAUAAAUGUUUCAUAUAUAAUCAGUUUACAUACAAUAUAUAUUAUGUACAAACUUGAACAUAAUGAAUGAGAUAGUGUAUGUGCAUAAAGAAUGUACGUUAGUGCAUUGGUGUAAAAUUCAAUAAAGUGUUUUAUACAUAUUUUGUACAACUAGUAUACACCCUUUGUACAUUGUUAACAAGGGAAAAAAAAAAUAGAUAGAAGUGUAAGAGUAAAAUCAAUGUAUUCGUUUCGUUUGAAUCAAACAAGAAAAUUGAAAGAAAAUAUUUAAAAUAUAUUUAUGAUAGGGGCCUUGAAGUGUAUCUCGUUGGCAAUGCAUAUCUUUUAUUGAUCAAACACUUUUUUUGCUUAGCAAAGAGGUAGAAAAUGUUUUUCAAUGAUUUGACAUGAAAUUCAAAUAAGAAAACAAAAUGUUAACAAAUAAUUUCAAUUACUGAAAAAUAAUAUUUGCAAACAUUCAUUCUUGAUAGUUGAUUGGAUUUUAUAAUACUCGGAUGAAAAACAUAUAUAAUGUGAAACCUUGGACUCAUUUCACAGUCAAUUUCUUUAAAUUUUAAUAUUACAAACUAAACAUUUGUACAAAUGGUACAAGUUAGUAUCUUUUUAUGUAAUUAAUUAUUGUGAAGACAUUUUAUCUUUUUCAUUUACCCAAGAAUAAUCAUACUAAUAUAAACAAAUAAUUUUGAUCAUGCACAGAUAAAUAUUCUUCUUCUUCGCUCUAUCUCAUGUGGUUGGAUUUGGAGCAUGGACCGUUUGUAUUAUUCAAUUGUGGAAGACCAAUUUCAAUGAGUUGAAAGACCAAUGGGCCAUGGGGAGCAAUGUGGAGCAAGGGUGUUCCAUCUAGCAUUUGCAGAUGGUAAGCCCUUGAAUUUCCAAUUUUAGACACAAUGUAGGGUCUUUCCCAAUUUUCUUAGAGUUUCCCGGCUCCCUGUUCAACCGUAUUCUCAAAGACCUUUUUGAGGACUAGAGUCCCAACCUUGAAGGCACGUGAUCGGACUUUUCGAUUGUAGUGGGGCAACAACUCGUUGCUGGUAGGAUGCCAUCCAGAUGGAUGCGUUCUCUCUUGCUUCAUAUGAAUCCAGGUGUCUUUCAAGUUCCAUAUAUUCAUCUUUUUGGUCUUCAAUGGUAGUUCGGGUUGUGGGCAUACCUAUCUUUGUGGGGAUAACUGCAUCCAUCCCAUAGGUGAGGAUAAAAGGAGUGGUUCCCGUUGGUCGUCCGGGCGUUGUGCGAUAGGCCCACAAGACUCCGGGCAAUUCAUCAACCCACAUUCCUUUGGCUUUUUCCAACAUUUUCUUUAGUGUAGAGAACAAGGUCUUGUUUGUUGCUUCUACUUGUCCGUUACUUUGAGGAUACUGAGGACUGGAAUACAAUUUUUUUUAUCUUCAGCUCUGAACAAAAGGUUCUGAAGGCAAUGCUAUCAAAUUGUGGCCCAUUGUCAGCUAUAAUUGCCUGUAAAAUUGCGAACCGACAUACGAUGUUUUUCCAAAUGAACUUGAAAACGUCUUUGUCUUUGAUGUUGACAUAUGUUUCUGCCUCUACCCAUUUGUUGAAGUAGUCAGUGGCUACAAGUAGGAAUUUUUUAUGUGCGGCAGCGACGGGCAAGGGGCCAACUAUGUCUAUUCCCUAUUGCGCAAAUGGCUAAGGGCUUGUGAUUGGAUUCAGGACCUCAGAGGGCAUGCCUUUGGCAUUGAUCACACCUCUUAACGUAGUUCACAACGUCUUGCUUCAUGGUGGGCCAAUAGUAUCCUUAUGAAUGAGGACGAUGUGCCAAGGUUUGUCCUCCUAUGUGAUUGUCGCAUACGCCUUCAUGCAAUUCCGCCAAUACAUAUUGUGUUUCUAUAUCGUUUAGGCCCCUGAGGUAUGGUCCUCCAAAUGAUCGCCUGUAAAGGUUGUCCUUAAUCAAAGUGGAACAGGUAGCUUGUACUCGGAUCUUAUGAGCUUGUUUGCUUUCUUCAGGAAAAUCUCUUAUUUGGAGAUAUGUCUCAAUUUCGUUCAUCAGUCAACGUUUGCUUCAUUGGUAGUGCACACGGGUGUGACAACUAUGGAUGACGUAUCCUGGAUGUAGACGCGUAAUAAUACUGCUUCCUUCACAUAGAGAGUAGUUGUUAUUCCGGCUAAGGUGUCAACCUUGGUGUUUUCUGAGUGGGGGAUUCUCUUGAUGUCCCACUUGCUUAAUUUGUCCAGGCAAGUUUCUUACCUUUAAAAGGUACCGAGCCAUGCACUCGUCCUUAGCUUCAUAUUCUCUCUAAAUUUUCCCAACAACUAGUUAAGAGUCAUUUGCGUAUUUCAAGCUUGGACGGUGAGAAAGUCAGAGCAAGGCUAAGUCCGACGAAGAUUGCCUUAUACUCGACUUCAUUAUUAGAGGCUAGGAAUCUGAGCUGGAUAGCCUGUUCCAACUACUCUCCGGUCGGGGAUUGUAAGAGGAGGCCCAUUCUAUAUCAUAAAGCCCAGGAUGCCCCGUGAGAGCUUGGACCUUGAUGAGGUUUUUGGUGUGUUUUGGAUAUGAAGUCAGCCAUGACUCGCCCUUUCAUUGCCAGCCUGGGUUGAUACUUGAUUCUAUACUCACUUAGUUCAAUGGUCCACUUUACCAGUCUCCUGGAUAGGUCUGGUUUGUGCAGAAUGUUUAUGAGUGGUUGAUUUAUGAGUACAAUCACUUAAUGAGCUUAGGAAUAGGGAUGGGGCUUUUGCGCAACACUCCUCAAGGCUAAGGCUGUUUGUUCUAUCUUUGAAUACCGGGUUUCUGUGUCAACCAUUGCUUUGCUUACGUAAUAGACGAGCCUUUGCUCCUUGUCAUUUACGCAACAGAAUAAAACAACACUGACAACACAAUCAAACACUGCUAAGUACAUGUAUAAUUACUCACCAAGUUGAGGGCUACUUAGAAUGGGAGGCUAAGUAAGGUAGCGUUUAAUCUUCUCGAAUGCUAGCUCACAAUCACUUAUCCACCUUGUCACGUUAGCUUCUUUCAGUGUGAGGAAGAAGAACCUUAACUUGUCUGUAAAUCGGGUUAUAAAGUGUCCUAAUGCAACUAGUUGACACGUGAGGCGUUGCAAGUCCUUAUUACAAUUUGGGGUGAACGUCUCCAUGACGACCUUGAUUUGGUUCGGAUUGACUUCUAUCCCUCUUUGUGUAACCAUGAACCCUAAGAACUUGCCUGCAUUGACUCCAAAGGCGCACUUGGCUAGAUUCAGCUUCAUAUUGUACGCUUUCAUCAAACGAAAGGUUUCUUGUAAAUGCCAAGCGUGCUUGCUCCUGGUUUUGCUUUUUACCACAAUGUCAUCGAUAUAUACUUCCACAGUCUGGCCGAUUAAUGGCUUGAAAACUUUUGUCAUUAGUCUCUGGUAGGUGGCUCCGACAUUUUUAAGUCUAAACGACAUGACCUUGUAGCAAUAUAUUUCGUGUGGUAUCACAAAAGAGGUCUUCUCAUCAUUUGGUUGGAAUAUGGGAAUCUAAUGGUAACCGGAGAAAGCAUCUAUGAAAGAGAGUAUUCUAUGCCCAAUAGUGGAGUCGACUAUCUGGUUUAUCCAUGGCAAUGAGAAGCUAUCCUUCGGGUAGACAUCAUUCAGGUUGGUGUAGUCAACAUAGACUCGUCAUUUGCCUCUUUUUUUUGGGACGACCACCAUAUUUGCUAACCACUCUGAAUAUUCUACUUUCCUGAUAAACCCGGCCGCCGGUAAUUUUUCUACUUUGGAUUGGAUGAAUUUUUGCCUAUUCGGGUGGAAGUGUCGGACCUUCUGGCGGAUAGGUCGUGAGAAAAAGAUAAUAUUGAGCCGAUGUGAGGCUAUCGAUGGAUGAAUUCCGGGCAUAUCAGAAUGAGUCCAUACGAAGACGUCUUUAUUCUGCUAAAGUACCUCUUUCAAAGAUCUUGCUUCCUCCGUCGUGAGGAAGGAGCUAGCAUAGGUGAAACGAUUAUUUUCUUAUGAGAGUUGUAUGAUCUGCAGGGGGUCAGCUGCCGACGGAUCUCUUUCCAUCUGGCAUUGUAAUUGCUAUUGUUCCUUUGUACUAGUCGGUUCAGUAUGAGGCUCAGUAACGCUUGUGGAUCCGAAUUCUCGCGCCACCUGGUAACAUUGUAGUGCUGCUAAUUGGCUCCCAAAGAGGUUGACAUGUUCGUUCUCAGUUAAGUAGUUCACUAUUUGGUGAUAUGUAGAAGGGGUAACCUUCAUGUCGUGCAACCAGGUGCGUCCCAUGAUGGCGUUGAAAGGGGACAAGUCUUUCACAAUUGAGAAUUGCACAUUGAAGACCAUUGGUCUGACUUGGACGAGUAUUACAACAUCUCCAAGAGAAGUUGUUGAUGCUUCGUUGAACCCUGACAGUAUCCGCCCGAGAUUUUCUAAAGCAGACAGUGAGAAUCUCAUUUGCUUGAACGCAGACAUCUGUAAUAGGUCGGUUGAGUUGUCUAGGUCAACUAAGAUUCGCCUUACAUCAAACUCGCUGAUCCCCAAUGUUAGGAUGAGAACGUCUUGAUGUGGUUGUAACACCCGAUUGGGGUCUACUAAAGGAAAAGUGAUUGUCUCAUCUAUUAGGUGCACCCCCUCAUCAGCCAAUCCUGGUCAGAUUGAGCUAAUCCGCUCUCGUACGGAGGUGGCUCGGAGCAACCUUUGCCUCUUCCGCUUGGAGGUGUAUUCUUCAUUAACGGGCCCUCCAUGGAUGUAGUUGAUCAUGACUCUGGGAGCUGUUGAAGUUGUAGGGAUUUGGACGUCUGGGUUAUCUUUUGUCCGCGCUCGUCUCCUCUCUAAGCGGACAUACUGCUUUAGGUGUUCAGCUCUUACCAGUUUUUCCACUAGGUAAUGGAGACUUUUGCAUUUCUCUGUGGCGUGAUCAUGUUCCUUGUGAUAAGCGUACUUUCUACUCCAGUCCCGCUUAGCCGAAUUCGUCUUGAUUGGCUCUGGCCAUCCACAACCAGCUAGAUCUCGGAUUAGGUGGAGAAACUUGUCAUAUGAAAUGUUGAGGGGGGUAAUCUUGUCUUGGUUUGACUAAUGAUGUUUGUUUUGCCCUUUACCUGCCUGCCUUCGUUGGCUUGUAGUCUUAGAGCUCAUGGCUAAGUCUUUCCUAGUGGGUUGGCUAAUGACCAUAACCUGUUGGGUAGCUGUGCGGACAUUGUCCUUGAGCAUGGAGUACUUGUUUUCUCGUCUGAACAGAUCGUCCAUAGUCAUAGGAGGCUUUUUGGCAAGGGAUUUGAAGAAGGGUGUACCAAGACAGAUACUUUUUUUAAAGAUUUACAGGACUGUGUCCAUGCUGUAAGAUUAUACUUGGAGUACAGUCUGCCCGAACCGCUUCACAAACUCCCUCAGCGAUUCAUUCUCCUGCAUUUUUAUGUUCUAUAGGGUAUUGAUGUUUUGUUUAUGCCGUGUUGAGCACAUAUAUUGUCCCACGAGAGCCUCCGACAGAUCCCAAAAGUUAUCGACGAAAUUCAUCGAGAGACGGUGGAACCAUGAGAGAGUCUGACCUUGGAGGUUGGUUAGAAAGACCUUACAUAGUAGCGCAUCAUUCCCUAUGUCGAUGGCCAUGAGUUGCUUGUAGUGUAUGAUAUGGUCAAAUGGAUAAUUGGAUCUGUCAUACACAGAGAAUUUUGGAACUAUGAACCCUCUCGAGAGUUCGUAGCUAAUGAUGUCAGGGGUGAAAGACAUGGAGAACAUGUCAUCUAGUUGCUUAUUAACAGAGCCUAGAUGGCCUCUACUAGCCAAACCCUUUACUGGUUUUUGUGCUAGCAGAUAGGGGAGUCAAUCCGUAAUGACAAGUGUAGCUAAGAGGCUAAAAUAUGGCCCUUAGGCCAUUGCUUCAGGUGAUUCCCCCCAUGUUAGGCAGCUACGGCUCUAGCCUUGCGUGCAUUGCAUUUGAUAGUUGGGACUUCUUAUCGUGUCUUCUCUUUGUUGAGAUACGAGUGGAGUCUAAGCUUUCAUCUUGCUGCGCACGACAGGCUAGUGGGAAUCUUUGUUUAGGCAUUCUUUUUGGUUCAUUAGAGGGGAACUCUGCAUUCCCAAGGUAUGUUGUCUCCUUGUUUUGCCUUGAGUUCAUUCGUUGACUUCUAGGUUGUCGGCUACAAGGAGGGCCUGACGAGGACACCUGAAUAUGUAACACGUCGUUUUCUUCUCUAAGUCUUCUUGUCUCUUAGAGCAAGGCCUGUACUUGUCAUUCACUCUCUCACUGGCGUAUUUCCAUACUUGCACGCCAAUCAAAAUAACUCUCAUCACCCAUGGUUGACGAUUGACUUUUUGAGAGUGUUGACAUUUUUGUUCGUUCCCAUAGACAACGCCAAUGUCGAUACCUUAUCAACUGAGGAUGGAUUCCUCCCUUAGUUGUGGCAAGAGAAGUUUCCUUUCAAAUGCUGGAAUCUAGACUCCUUGCUUCCCUGCACAAAAAUGCUCUGAUCGGUUGUCCGGGCAUACCCUUCAAAGCUCAAGUCAAUCGAGAGAGAGAGAGAGAGAGAGAGAAAGAGAGAAAGAAAGAAAGAAAGAGCUCACAGUGUCCUCAUCCUCUUGUUCUUCUUCAAUCGUGUUUUUUAUAAUGCUUUAAGGUAAAGGAAGACUCAACGAUGCUGAGUUGGCUCAUACAAUGAUGAUUUGCGCAGUAGAGAUAGGAGCAAUCAUCAUAUCUACAGGGCAACUGGGGGGUUGUGUCAGACGACGCUUCAUGACAGAGCUUGCCAUCCUUUCCACCUUGAUGAUGCCCUAAGGUCUUGUCUAUUGACGCAGACAUGAGGAUGGAAAGAGUCUCAUCACUCAGUUUGAUGUCAAUCAGUCAUGGUCUCAUAUACCAAAGAAGACUUGAGGCUAUCAGGAGAGUACGAGUCGCUUAGUGGCGUAAAUGGUCCAGACAGGAGGUUCCCCGAAUGUCUUGGAAGUUGUCCGGACAGUGAUGAGAAAUGUGACAUAUGGACUAGCCGAAACGAUGUCAUGUGGACAGACGCAUGGAAGUAUUUUGUAGGUGGACACGUGAGAGAAGACCUCUACAUUAGGGUCAAACUUUCUUUGUGUUCUUCCCGGCCAUCUUCACAAGGCUUUGAUUGACGACCCUCGGCAACCGUUCUUCUAGCAGUUCACACAAGUGAUGCUUGCACCAUUGGUCUUGCUUCUUCUCAAUCUGCUUCUAUCUUCCCCAAGUUCGUCAGCUACUGUUUCCACUUGGAGUGCUUAUGAGCCAAAAUCUGACCCACGGUUGAAAGGAAAAUUAACAAUUAUUGAAGUGGACAAAGACUUUUGACCUCAUUUGUGGACGCUAGUCGUUUUUCCAAAUAUGAGGCCGGAGCUAGGUACUUGGGGCAUUCAUGUUCCAUCAUCAUCAUUAAUAUUAUUGCAGGUAGCUUUCCUCUUUCCAUGGGAAUUUCUACCCUCCACAUAAAUCAUGUAUGAAUAUAUUUUUUUUUUAAAUGAUAUAGACACUAUGUUUAAUGUAAGACUAUAUAAAAUUUAAAUAUUAUUUUUAAUAAUAUGAAGUCAAGCUAGCCCUUGAGGUUGGAUGCAUCUCUAAUGUCUUUGCAGCGUCAAAUAAAAUACUUGAUGGUGGCAUGUUGUGUUGGACCCUUGUAGUUGUUGGCUGUAUAGGGCGGAUCAGCUUGAUUAGCUUUUGUAGCAGAUUGUAAGCGUGGCUCUCAAAAUCUUAAGAUAUAGAAAUGAAAUUUACUCUAAUAAUAUAUAUAGACACAUAAAGAUAAAAAUAUACUAUUAUCCUUUUUUCAUAUAGUAUUGUAUCUUGUUUAGAAUACAUAAUCACUCUAAGUAAUUGUAUUACCCAAUAAAUUAUACCUAAUUUUAGAGACGGAACCAACAAUUUGAUCUAAGGGUGGCGACUUUUAAUACAUAUGUGGGUUUAGCCCAAUAGUCAAGACUUAUUAUUAUUGUUAAGGGAGACAUUAUUAGGUUUGAGUUUAAAUCCUCCUAUUGUCAGAAUUGAAUAUUUUAUUUUUUAACAUUUUCACAAGGGGAGAUGGCUCCCCUAGGCCCUACCUGGCUCCGGUGCCUAAUUUAUUGAUUGAUGGUGUUUGAAUCUAUUUAUUUUUUAUUCUUAACAUUUUCAAGGGUAGGUGCCCCUUAGGCCCAAUCUAACUCUACUAAUAUCUAGUUUAUUGAUUGAUGGUGUUUGAAUCUAUUCAUUCUAAAAAAAAUUUAUUUUUUAUUUUAGUUAAGAUUUUAUUUAAAUUAUUAAGUUAGUUUUAAAUUGCAUGCACUAUUAAUUUAUUAUUUCAAGUACAAUAAAAUAAGAAAAUAAUAUACUCUAUCCUACUAAAUAAGUUCAUUCAACAGUAUUUCAAAAAGUAACUUUCAAAUGAUAUAAGGAAGUUACAAAAUUAAACCCAAAAAAAAUUCUCUCUGGGUUAAGUUAUAUCUUAUAUUUAAUUAUUAAUAAAAAUAGAAUAGAAAAAUUGUACUUUUAUUCGUACCCCAUAUUACCAUAUUGGAUGAUAAGUCGGUAAAGGUAGAUUAAUAAUAUGAUUGGUUUCAAAAAAACUAUUAAGAAAAGAAAAAAAAUAUUAAAAAAAUAGGUUUUUAAUAUCUUAUUUUAAUAUGAAAAAUAAAAAAUAAGAUAUAAUUAAAAUUAAUUAAAAACCUAUAUAUAUAUUUAAAUUAUUUGAUAUUUAUAUAUAAAAAAAUAUAUUAACUUGAAUGAGUUUAAGAUAGUAUAUAAAAUAAUUUAUUAAUUUAAUUUUUUUUUCUUUUACUUUUACAUGAUACUUAAAAAGGUAUAUAAAUAAAGAAAAAAUAUACUAAAUAAAAUAAAUUUAUUUAUAUAUAAAAAUAAUUUAUUAAUUUAAAAUCUAUUUUUAUUUCCUUUAACUUUUCUUUCUUUCUUUUUUUUUUUCUUAUAUUUCUUUUUUUUUUUUCCCUAAACCAAACAUAAAAUACAAACACAGGUGUAAAGUUUGUAUCUUUGUGAAACUCAUGUAAUACUGACCCAUGUAACCUUCCCAUACAAUUAAUUUCCUGCAAAGGAAGGCGGCAACAUGUCAUUGGGUGAGUGUCUUAGGAGACAAAAUCUGACCGGCGGUUGAAGGGAGAAUGCACAAUUAUUGAAGUGGACGGAGACUUUUAACCUUAUCUGUGGAAGCUGGGUCAUUUUCAAAACACGAGGCUGCAGCUUGGAACCUGGGGCAUUCAUAUUCCAUCAUCAUCAUUGUUAACAUUUUUAUUCCAUCUUGCUUUCAUCUUCCCAUGGGAAUUUCUACUAUCCGCACAAGUCAAGAGCGACUUUGUCUUUUCCAUAAAUAUUAGUACUAUUUGUGUGUUCCUUCCCACAAUUUGAUUCAAGCUCAGCCCUACGGCCUUUUCAACUGAUCCAAUUUCAUAGAUUACAUGGAUGCGCCAGUUCUUUUGCUUCUUCUCACUCUGCUUCUAUCUUCUCCACUUCCAUCGUCCAACCUCGACAGUUUGAGUCAAGGCUCAUCCCUCUCAGUUGGGAAGCCUGAACAAGUUUUGAUUUCACAAAGUGGAAUCUUCUCAGCUGGCUUCUACCCCGUCGGUGAUAAUGCUUAUUGUCUUGCCAUAUGGUUCACCAAACCAUCCUACGACGGCAAACAUACCGCUGUUUGGAUGGCAAACCGAAACCAACCAGUUAAUGGGAAUUUCUCAAAGCUUUCGCUGCUAGAAAGUGGUGAUCUUAUCUUAACAGAUGCUGGGCGGUUCAUAGUUUGGACCAUAAAGAGGGUUGGGAUUUCUCCGGUGCAAUUACACCUCUUCAACACUGGUAACCUUGUGCUGCGUACCUCGGAUGGUGUUAUUCAAUGGCAAAGUUUCGAUUCACCAACAGAUACCCUUCUCCCUCACCAACCACUCACCAGAAAUACGAGACUUGUCUCUUCAAGAACCAAAACCAACUUUUUCUCAGGGUUUUAUAAGUUCUAUUUUGACAACAAUAAUGUCCUCAUUCUUGUCUUCGAUGGGCCGGACGCUUCAGGCAUUUACUGGCCCCCAUCGUGGCUUGUAAGCUGGCAGGCGGGAAGAUCGGCAUACAACAGUAGCAGAACUGCGUUACUAGAUUACUUUGGCUAUUUUUCUUCAACCGACGAUUUGAAGUUUCAGUCCUCGGAUUUUGGUGAGAGAGUCCAAAGAAGAUUGACCCUGGAUAUUGAUGGCAACUUACGAUUAUACAGUUUUGAGGAAGGGAGAAAUAAGUGGGUUGUUACUUGGCAAGCCAUCACGCUACAAUGCAACAUUCAUGGAAUAUGCGGACCCAACAGUAUUUGUACCUAUGUGCCUGGUUCUGGGAGUGGAAGGAGAUGCUCUUGCAUACCUGGAUAUGAGAUGAAAAAUCGCACUGACCGAACUUAUGGAUGCAUUCCUAAAUUCAAUCUUUCUUGCGACUCACAGAAGGUUGGUUUCCUCCUACUCACACACUUUGAGUUCUACGGCUAUGAUUAUGGCUAUUACCCCAAUUACACCUUACAGAUGUGUGAAAAACUGUGCUUGGAAAUAUGUGGCUGCAUGGGAUUUCAAUACAGCUAUACUUCGGAUAAUUAUAAAUGUUAUCCUAAGCGGCUGUUGCUCAACGGAUACCGCUCGCCUGGUUUUUUAGGACAUAUAUAUCUAAAAUUGCCUAAAGCUAGUCUUCUUUCCUAUGAAAAACCGGUUAAGGAAUUCAUGUUAGAUUGCUCAGGCAACCGCUCAGAGCAGCUAGUAAGAUCUUAUGCAAAAGCCCACGAAAAUGAAGUGUUAAAGUUCAUCCUCUGGUUUGCGUGCGCAAUUGGAGCAGUUGAGAUGGUUUGCAUCUGUAUGGUGUGGUGUUUCUUGAUGAAGGCCCAGCAAAACACCAGUACAGAUCCGCCAGGCUACAUUUUAGCUGCCACGGGAUUCAGAAAAUUCACCUAUACUGAGCUGAAGAAAGCAACACGGGGUUUCAGUGAGGAGAUUGGCAGAGGAGGAGGUGGGGUUGUAUAUAAAGGUGUCUUAUCAGAUCACCGAGUGGCAGCCAUCAAGCAGCUCAGUGGAGCUAACCAAGGAGAAUCUGAAUUCUUGGCAGAAGUAAGUACCAUUGGGAGGCUUAACCACAUGAACUUGAUAGAGAUGUGGGGUUAUUGCUUUGAGGGGAAGCACAGGCUCUUGGUUUAUGAAUACAUGGAGCAUGGAUCACUAGCACAAAACCUCACUUCCAAUACACUUGAUUGGCAGAAGAGGUUCGAUAUUGCGGUGGGCACAGCAAAAGGCCUGGCUUAUUUACACGAAGAGUGCUUGGAGUGGGUUCUACACUGCGAUGUGAAGCCUCAAAACAUACUCCUAGACGUUAAUUAUCAGCCAAAGGUGGCAGACUUCGGCCUGUCAAAGUUACAGAACAGAGGAGAAAUCAACAAUUCGAGAUUGUCGAGGAUCAGAGGAACAAGAGGUUACAUGGCUCCAGAAUGGGUUUUGAACCUCCCCAUCACCUCCAAAGUAGACGUUUAUAGCUAUGGUAUUGUGGUUCUGGAGAUGGUUACCGGCCGAAGGAGUGCUUCAAUGGCCAUCCACGGUACAGAUGGCAUAGGGGAACGUCAGAGUUUGGUGGCAUGGGUGAAAGGGAAGAUGAAUGGAGCAACUGCAGUUGCUUCGUGGAUGAAAGAAAUCCUAGACCCGUCGAUGGAAGGCGAAUAUGACAUGGGUGAGAUGGAAAUUCUAGUAGCAGUGGCUUUGCAAUGUGUGGAAUUGGACAAGGAUGAAAGACCCACCAUGAGUCAGGUGGUCGAGACGCUUCUCCGCCCCGAACGUGGAAACAAUCUUCACUACUAUUAAAUUAAUGCCUCGUAUGGGGCCCAAGUGAGGUGGCUUUCUGUACCUGUUCCGCCCAUUUAUGAUGUUUGUAAAAGAACAGAGUAAUUUUAAGUAGAAUAAUUGAGAAGCCAAAUCUUUUGAUACAACAUACAAUAUAAUUAUAUUGAAGUGUCUUUUUAAAAGAUACAACUUGGUUAUAAAUUUUAAUGUCAACCUUCUCAAAUGUUAAGUAAAAAAUUAUUUAAUUUUUUUUUAAAAAUAUCUUUAAUAUUAUGUCACUGUAUUUAAAGUAUUUUUUAAGAGGUAACUUGAUUACCAAAAUUUGAUAUUAUUUUUUAAUUCAAGUUUAUAAUUAUAAUUUAUAAAUAGUUUUUUAAUUAUUAUAAAAUACCGAACUUCUUACUAAAUCAAUUAGAAUGGAUGAUCAUCUAUUCCCUUAUAUCUCUUCAAUAUUGUUGCUACCCUCCUCCCAACUUUAUAUAAAAUAAAGAUUUUACUAAUAAAUAUUACAUAGAAUUUUAUUCCCAAUAUCUCUCCCUCGUACUCUUAUCUUACCCUCACAUAAUUUGUAACACUUCUAAGUUUUGCUCUUCAUCAUGGAACAAAUUCUUUUCUAUGUAGUAUACAUAUAUGAAAGGUAUACUACAUAUAUGAUGAAUGUGACAUUCAUUUAUUUUAAUUAUUUUUUCGGUGAUAUCAUUGCUUAGGAAAUUUUGAUGAAUGUGAAAGGGAAAUGGAAAAUUGUGGGUCACCAUAUAACAUAUAAGGACAAAAUGUAAUUUUAUUGGUCUUGCAUAGAUGGAGGUGGAAAUGGGGCAACACAUCAAAUCAGAUAUGGUGGAUGACAUGUAGAAUAAUGAUUGAAAGUGAAAUGAACGAGAGCCGCCCAGCAAAGGUCUAUUUUCAAAGUAUUUUAUUAGGUUUUUUUAUUUUAUUUUUUCAACUCAAGACCUCUUUCUGUAAAUUUAUUAUUAAAAAUAUUUGAAUCCCUAACUUUUUAUGAGUGUCUUUUCGUAAACAUGUUGACCUAAAUCAGUUGAGGUUAUGUUUGGCUCUUGGGGAAAGAAACAAAAAGACUAAAAAUAUAAUUUUUUUUUUCUCUUAUUUAUAUAUUUUUAAAUUAUUUAAUCUAAAACAAUGAAAGGUACAAAUUUUUCUAUAAUUACAAUUUAUUAAUUUUAAAUUCUUAUUUUAUUUUUAUUCAGACAUACCUUCAAUAAUUAGUAUAAAAUUAAUAUAAUGUUUCAUAUAUAAUCAAUUUACAUAUAUUAUAUAUUAUGUAUAAACACUAACAUAAUGAAUGAGAUGGUGUAUGUACAAAAAGAACGUAUGCUAGUGCAUUGGUAUAAAAUUUAAUAAAGUGUUUUAUACAUAUUUUGUAUAACUAGUAUACACCCCCUUAUACAUUGUUUCUAAAGGAAAAGAAAAUAAAUUAGAUAUAUGUGUAAAUGUGAUAUCAAUGUAUUCGUUUGGUUCGAAUCAAACAAGAAAAUUGAAAGAAAACAUUUAAAAUAUAUUUACAAUAGGAGUCUUGAAAUGUAUGUCGACAUGCAUCUCUUUUAUUAAUCAAGCAUUUUUCUACUUAACAAAAAGGUAGAAAAAUAUUUUUGUAAUGAUUUGACAUAAAAUUCAAAUAAGAAAAAAAAUAAUGUUAACAAAUAAUUUUAAUUACUGAAAAAUAAUAUUUGCAAACAUUCCUUCUUGAUAGUUGAUUGGAUUUUACAAUACACUAAUGAAACAUAUAUAUUAUGUGAAGCCUUGGACUUAUUUCACAUUUAAUUUCUUCAAAUUUUAAUGCUACAAACUAAACAUUUGUACAAAUGGUACAAGUUAGUAUCUUUUUAUGUAAUUAAUUAUUGUGAAGACAUUUUAUCUUUUUCAUUUACCCAAGAAUAAUCAUACUAAUAUAUACAAAUAAUAGUUAUACUAAUAUAAACAAAUAAUUUUGAUCAUGCCCAAAUAAAAUACAUUUUUAUAAAAUUUAGAUUUAAUUUUAUAGUAUAUGACAUAGAUUCUUUUUCUUCUUCUUCUUUCUUCUUUGCUUUAUCUCAUGUGGUUGGAUUUGGAGCAUGGACCGUUUGUAUUAUUCAAUUGUGAAAGACCAAUUUCAUUGAGUUGAAAGACCAAUGGGCCAUGGGGAGCAAUGCUUGCUUCACUUAAUUUUUUAAAACUCGUUUUUAGUAGUACAAAAUUUUUUAUCAUGUGAAGUAUGGAUGUUAUUAUCUUUUUAUAUUAAUUUUAUUUUCCUUCCCUUUUUUUAUAUUGAUUUUAUAAAAACAUAUAUGAGGAUAUUAUUUCACUAAAAACAUAUCAUAUGCAUAUAGCUUAACAUGCAACAUUUUCAUACAUAAUCAAAGAUGGAUUUUUUUUUUUUUUUAAUCACUUUUUCUCCCUUUUUUCUUUUCUUUGUAUUUUCUCAUAUACAAACACGGCUUAGAAUUUACUCACAAACAAAGUGUUAUGUUACUUUUAUGGGCAUCGAAUUUAAAGACUUGGCAUGCCGUCAUGUACAUAAGACACAAGUAGAAAGUCUCAUAUUGAAAAUUUAAUUCAUUUAAGCGUACCAUUUUUUUUUGUGAUCAUGGGUCUAAAUAUUAGCGGGGAAAGAGGCGAAUUGACGUUAUAGAAGGCCUAACGCUCAUGUUUUGUAUUUAUUAAUCAUUUAUUGAUGUGAUAAAAAAUUUGUAAUUCAAAAUUUGAUUUUAUCAAGUGAAGUACCCGAUAAACAAAAAUGGAGGAACGUAAAGGGAGGAAAAAAAAGGUGAAACGAAGACAUAUCCCAAAACACUAAUGGCCUAUCCCCUAAAAAUUCUAGCUUUAGAAUUAUUGUCCUAAAAGAAAAAGAUGAGCAAGUGUUUUCUCACGUCAUGGAGUUAUUAUAUAAUGUUAAAAAACUAAAGUAUUGUUUGCUUUCUUAAUUUUUUAUUUUGGUUUUUUUUUAAAACCUUUUGUUAACUUAUUAUUUAUUUCUCAAAAUUUUUUAUUAAAUAAAAAAAUAUAUGAUUUCUUCUAAAUAUUAAAAAUAAUUUAUUAAUUUUUUUUACUUAUUUAAUAGAAAUAAAAUAUAAAAAAAAUAAUUUAAUAUUUGAUAUUAUUAACCAUUAUUUAAUUUUAAAAUUUAUUUAAAAUUAAGUAAAAAACCAAACAUUAAAUGUCUUCAUUGCAAUGUUGGACGUUAUCUACUCUACUCUUUUAUAAAAUCUUUUAUUUUAGAAAAUUUUAGUCUCCAAAGUAGACAUGAGAGAAAUAACAAUUGUGUUAAAUUUAAUUGAAAUAAGUAAAUAAUAAAAAACACUUGAAUGGAUUAAGGACCAAUUUUUUUUAUGCCAAGGGAAGAUGGUGGUGAUAUAUUGACUUGAGUAAGAAUUUCGUAAUUUCUCAAAAGAAAGAUAAAGAGGAAAAAACAACAUUUAUUAAAAGAUAUAUACAUUAGGAUAUCAUAUUCAAAUUUAGUAUUUUUCAAACUGCACCGUUUCGUUUUUCACUUCAUCUAAUUUUACCUUCAAUUCAUUUUUUUUCCUAUUUUAUUUCUUGAAACAUGUAUUGACUAAAGCCUCUGUACCAAUGUUUCAGGACAUGGAGAGGUAGCCGUCCUCCUCCGGCCUCUCCUCCGGGCACAUAAGCUUCUCAACUAUCUGGCUCAUCGUGGGUCUUGAGUCCCUGUCUUCCUCCACACAUUCCAAGGCAACUCCAAUCAGAAUUUCCAUCCGGCGCAGGUCGCAUUCGCCUUGCAUCACAGGGUCCAGGAUGUCUUCAAUCCACGACCCCCUGGCACCAAUCCCAUUCAUUCGAUCCCUCACCCAUUUAAUCAACCCACGCUGCUCUGUCUCUCCUUGGGCAUCAGUAUCGGGGAUAGCAGUUGGGCUCUUCCCUGUCACCAUCUCCAAAACCACGAUUCCAUAGCUAUAAACGUCUACCUUGGAGGUUAUGGGAAGGUUGAAUACCCAUUCAGGAGCCAUGUAUCCUCUGGUUCCUCUGAUCCUCGAGAAACUUGAAUUGUCAAGCCCUCCUCUGUUUCGCAGUUUCGACAUCCCAAAAUCGGCCACUUUUGGCUGGUAAUUAGAGUCCAAGAGUAUGUUCUGAGGCUUGACAUCACAGUGCAGAACCCACUCCAAGCAUUCUUCGUGUAAAUAAGCUAGGCCUCUGGCCGUGCCAAGCGCUAUUUGGAACCUCUUCUCCCAAUCAAGAGUAUUGGAAGAUAGCUUUUGUGCCAAGGAUCCAUGUUCCAUGUACUCAUACACCAACAGCCGGUGCUUCCCCUCUAUGCAAUAUCCCCACGUCUCUAUUAAGUUCAUGUGAUUAAGCCUUCCAAUGGUGCUCACUUCUGCUAGAAAUUCUGCUUCUCCUUGAUUGGCUUCUUUGAGGCGCUUGAUUGCUGCCACUCGACGAUCAAGCAAUACACCUUUAUAUACCACUCCUCCACCUCCUCUUCCAAUCUCUUGGGUGAAACCUCGCGUGGCCUUCUUCAACUCUGCAUAGCUGAAUCUUUUAAACCCGUUUGCAACGAGGAUGUAGCCUUGCAUGGUCGAGACUGGAUCAUGGUGUACCCAAAAUAAGAAAAGCCAUACCAGCAAGACAAUUGCCCCCUCUAGAACUCCCAGUACGUAGGCAAACCACAGCAAAAACUUCAAUGACCCAUUUUCGUGGCCCUUGCGAUAUGUUGUAUCUAGCUGUAUAUAACGAGUGUUGCCUGAACAAUUUAUGGUGAAUUCUUCAAGAGGAUCAUAUCUGGGAAAGAGACUAGCUUUAGGCAGUUUUAGAUACAUGGUUCCAGGAUAAUUUGGCGAACUGAAUCCAUUAAGCAAGAGGGUCUUUGGGUAACAACCGUAAAGGCCGUCGCUAAAAUUUAGCAGGAAGGCCUUGCAUUUGCACAACUGUAAGCAUAGAUUUUCACAGCUUUCAUAGGUGUAAUUGGGGUAGUGACCAUAGUCAUAGCCGUAGAGUUGAACAUGAGGGAGUGGGAAGAAGCCCACCUCAGUUUGGUUACAAGCGAUAUCAGUUUCUGGUGCGCACCCAUAAGACCAGUCAGUUGAAUUUACAAUCUUGAAUCCAGGCAUGCAAGAGCAUCCUCUGCCAUAAGCAGGGGUGUAACUGCAGAGACUGUUGGGUCCGCAGAUGCCAUGAAUCUGGCAUGGUUGGGAGAUAGCCUGCCAUGAAACCGACCAGGUUCCUCUCGUUUCUUCUAGACUAUACAUUCUAAGAUUGCCAUCGAAAUCGAGGGCCAAUCUUCUCUGAGGCCCCGCACCAAAAUCCGCUGACCGAAAUUCCAAAUCAUCUGAUGCUCUAUAAUAACCCAAAGAAUCGAAUACUGCGAUUCGACUGUUGUUGUAUGUGCUUCUUCCAGCAUCCCAGGUCACCAGGCUUGGGUCUGGCCAGUAGAUGCUGGAAACCUCAGUACCAUUGAAGAGAAGGCGGAUGACGUUAUCACUGUCAAAAAAUAGCUUAUAAAAACCAGAAGAAUAGUUGCUUUGGCUUCUUGAGGAGAUAAGGCUGGUAUCUUUGGUCAGUAUCUGGUGAGGAAGAAGAGUAUCUGUGGGUGAGUCAAAGCUCUGCCAAAUCACCGUCUUCUCCCAAGCAUAUAGAACAAGAUUGCCGGUGUUAAGGAGCUGUAAUCUCGCAGAUGAGGUUGAAACGGUGUUGAUCAUCCAAACCAUGAUUUUACCAGCAUCAGUUAAGAGGAGAUUGCCAUUCCUCAACAAAGAAAGCUUGGAGCCUCUACCGUUGACCGGUUGGUCACGGUUCGCCAUCCAAACUGUGGUUGCACCCCAUGAUUUUGUAAACCAUAUGGCGAAGCAGAAAGUGUUGUUGCCGACCUGAUAAAACCCAGCAGAGAAUAUACCAUUUGCUGAAAUGAGAAGAUCAUUUGAUUUCUCCACGGAAAGAGACGAGCCUUCGCUCAGAGUAUCAUACGUUUCAGAUGAAGAUGGAUAGCAAGUUAAUAGCAAAGCCAAAACAAAGAAACCAACUGUCCUAUCCAUGAGUUUUGGGAUAUGGUUUAUGUGCUCUGUUUCCUGAUCAGAUAUUUGCAAUGGAGAAUGCAAGUGUACGGUGCUACCAGAGUUUAGAAAAUAAAUUGACUCCUUGACUGGGGUGAAGGGGGGAAAUUCACAUUGCCCCUCGGGCCAAGUUUUGCUUGUGCCAUCGUGUUGGGUUUCUAAAAGCAUUUCAUGUCAACGUCAAAAUAAUGGGAUGAAGACCCGCUAUUUUUAAUGGGAUCUAUUUUGAUUGGAUGACUUGGGCCAUUCAAAUUUUGUAGUUUCCACUUGGAACAACAAAAUUAUUAUGAGAUACGUCAUUUUGAAGAAAGAUUCUAGAAAUAAGAUGUUAAAUUGAUCUCUUUUCCAUGUAGCUGAACUCGUCAACUGUGAGUCUGAGCCAUAUGAUUUCUGUGCCAUACAGAAGCUUAUUGUUCCAAGUUGCCUGUUCAAAGGUUGACCUGUGAACAGUUUGGAUCCAAAUACAAUGAAUGUGAUGAAAUUUACUGAAACCGGGACUCUCUGACUGGCCUGUGGCCUUUAUGAGUUUUAUUUUAGAGGUGACGUCUGAUGUUGAUUGGCCCAAGCAGGGAAAGAUCAAAUGGGAAACGACGGUCACAACUUGUGGGGUGACUUACCAUUCACCAAGUAACACUUCAAAGAAAUUAAUCGAGCCAAUGGAUUUCACAAGUUCCCUCUUUGCAGAAUUUUGAAUAUUUAAAAAGAAUCUUAACUUUUAAAACCUAAAUUUAUAGUUAAUUUUUAGGUGUAAUUGUGUUUUGGAUGUAGUUGGACCAAAAAAAUUAAGUUUUGAUUCAUAUAAGUUUAUCAUUUAAGUCCAAUACUUAAAGAAAGUAUGAAAAUUAAAAAAAAUGAUAUGAAUUUUUUAUCUUUCUAAAAAUGAUAUUUAUUGACUAUGAAAAAAAUAAGUAGAAAAACAUUAAUUUAAAUUUUAUUCUUUUUAUAAACUUCAAUAAAAUUUAAUUUCAUUUAAUGAUUUGAAAAAAAAAACACCAUUUUAAAAAAAAUAAUAAUAAAUUAUUAUUAUUAUUAUUAUUAUUUAAAAAUCAAACAUAUUGAAAAAAAUAUAUUUUUAAAAUUAUAUAUGUAAAAAAUAACUAAAAACAUGUCAAAAUUUUUUUAAAAAUGAUAUAUUUUUAGAAUAUUUUUUUUUAAAAAAAAUAGUUUUCUUAAAAUAAUAAAUUUUCAGAAUAAUUAUUAAAAAAAAUUAAGAUAAAAAAGUUUGUCAAACAUUAUAAUAGAAAACACUCAAAAUAGUUUUGAAGGGUAUAUGAGUGUUUUCAUAUUUUAUAUCCUUCCCCUUGAUUAUGCCCAGAUAGAUCCAAAACAUUAUUAUCCCUAAUUUUUAAACGCUUAAUUAUUGCGAUUUGAGGGUAAAACAUUUUCUUUUAUUCAAUCAAGAUUGAAUUUAAAAUAAUAGCGUUGGUAUUACUCCCUCUCUUUUAUCCUUUUCUUAUUCUAUCUAAUAGUUGUUUUCUCGCCGCCUUUGUGGGCCAAGAUGAACUAAUGCUAAGAAUUUUAUUCAUCUGCUUUCUUUCAAGACUCACUUAUUGAAUAUAAUAUCUCAAUAAAUAUGGAACCUGAUUUUGAUUAUAUUGGUACAAUUAUUGAUACAACUGUUGGCUCCGCUCAUUUUGAUUAUAUUGGUACAAUUUUAUUCAUCCUAACCUCUAUGUCAACAGGACCACUAAACUUAAGAAAAAACACUAAAUUUUGAAUUUUUAACUUCUAAAAAAAAACACCCGACCCGACUACCUAAUCUAAAUGUUUUCCUUUCUCAUUUGAAAGUUUUCUCUCAUCUUUUUUCACUCAUGACAACCCAAAAUUUCUCUUAUUUCAAUUUAGAAACCCAAAACUGAAACUCCAAAGCGGUGUCAAAAUGCCUCUUUCGACAUGCCUCUGGCUGAGACGCCUCAGCUAGGCGCUUGCCUUGAGCCCUAACUACAGUUAACUCUCGUCUAGGAGCUAUGGGAGUCUAAGACAAUUCGGUAAAAACGAAAUAGAGCUCAGAUGGAGAGAGUAGAUGCCCAAAAACUAAAACCCUAACCUCCAAAUGCGUCCUAAACUCGCAAAUUCGUAUUCAAUAUAGCUUUAUCAGACAUAAAUAGCACCAAACAUCUCUCUUAGACCACCGAAUCGACAAAGCCCUUGAAGAACCAAAGGAAACGGUGCAAAAAAUGAAGCGCAGGAGACUUUUAAAGUAUUGGGUGUUGACGAACUUGUUGAUCGAACCUUGAUCGGUCACCUUUGGUAUUUUGGUGACUGCACCUUAGAUACUACCUUAACUAACCUUUGGUACUACCUUAGUUAAACUUGAAUACUACUUGUGUGAAACCUCAGAACUUCAUUUGUGGAUAUGACUCACUUCAUUUGUGACCUUUAGAGCAUGUCAUUUUGUAAUUAAUUAGUGUGGUCAAUUGGUUCACCUUUUGUAUUUUAGUGACUGUACCUUAGACAUUACCUUAAUAGCCCUAAGAUAUAACCUUAAUUUACCUUAAAUACUACCUUAAUUGACCUUAGGUACUACUUUAGUUAAGCUCAUUCAACUUUCUAAGAGCAAGUUGGUGUCCUUUUCAGUUUUAGACAUAAAAUAGGUCAACCGGUUAUCCUUUCUCGAUCAAGGUUUGGUUGAGAAUGAAGUAAGUAAUAUCCACAAAUGAAAUUCCGAGGCUUCAGAUAGGUAGUACCCAAGUUUUACUAAGGUAGUACAUAAGGUUGGUUAAGAUAGUAUCUAAAAAAAAUAUAUGCCAUGAUAAAAGAAAUCCACCAUGAUAAUCCGUUGGGAGAAAAAUCGAUAGAAAAUCGGUAAUUUCACUGAAAAAUCAACGAAAUCUCGGUGAUAAGUUGGGAUGUAUGGCAACUUUGGGCAAUCAGUGGUAUAAAAAAAAUUGUGGUGAAAUAUUAGCAACCCAUUUUUUUGGUGGCAGUUUUUUUUUUUUUUUUAAUUUUAUAAUUUAUCCUGUUUUUAAAAUUUUUAAUUAUUCAUUUUUAAUUUAUCAUUUCAUUUUUAACUAUUUUUUAUAUUUAUCACAUUAAUUUUAUUUAAAAAAAUUACUAUCACUUCACUCUUAAUUUUUCUUAUAUUUAUCCUUUUAAUUUUAUUUAAUUUUAAAUGUUUUUGUUUUAAAAUAUUAAAAAUAUAAUUUUACUAAAAAAUUGUUACAAUAAAAAAAAUUAAUGAAGUUCUAAUAUUUUAUAAAUUAAAAUUAAUUUAAUAAAACAAAUUAUUAAUAAUUUUAAUUAUUAAAAUAAAUUAAUUUUAAUAGAAAAAGUUGUCAAUAUUUGUAAUAAAAUUUUAGAAAUUAAAUCUUAAAUAAAAUAUGUUAUAUAAAUCAAUUUAAUUUUUUAUUUACAAUGUAAUAAAACAUGGUUUAAUAAAAAUAUUUUUAAAAUGUUAAAAUAAAUUAAUAUAAAUAUAUUAAAGGAAAUUAAGCUAUUUUUUUAUGAAAAUUUGAUAAAUAUUAUCUUUAAUCAUGUUUGGUAGUUACAAAAUAAUUUUAAUAUAUAUAUUUUUUUAUUUCAUCAUAUUUUUGAAAGCUUUUUAUAUGAAUUUUGAACUACUUGUGUUUGAUAUGAUAUUUUUGUCAAAAUAUUCAUCGAUAUUUAUUCGAUAUUUUCGAUAUAUCCAUAAAAUUUAAAUACCAUGUAUCCAUAUUUAACGAUAUAUUUCUAACAUUUGAGUUGAUGGGAAAUGUGAAUGAGAUUAAGAAAAAUAGAGAAUGUUGAGUUUUAAUUGGUUAUAAGAAAUGAAAUAAUUCUCAAAUCCAAAAUUUAACGAUUCCCAUAUUUUUUUUGUGGAAAAAUAACUUUUUUUUUUAUAUAUAUAUAAAUGUUAUUUUUUAUUUCAAAUAUAAUGUGAAUGAGAUUAAGAAAAAUAGAGAAUGUUGAGUUUUAAUUGGUUAUAAGAAAUGAAAUAAUUCUCAAAUCCAAAAUUUAACCAUUUCCAUAUUUUUUUGUGGAAAAAUAACUUUUUUAUAUAUAUAUAUAUAUAAAUGUUAUUUUUUAUUUCAAAUAUCUAUAUAUAAGUUUUAAAAAAAAUAAUUAUUUUUAUAAGAAAAUAAUGAGGAUAUUUUUAUCUAAAUGAUCUCAAAAAAAAAAAUACCUAAAGAUAUUUUUGUAUGAUGUCUUGUCCAUCAUAAAAAAAAUUACUCAGGGAGGGUGUAGUUUGGUAAAGAGACCGAGCUCGUGGAUGGAAGCUCUGGCCCACAUCCGAAGAUUUCAUAACGACGUAUAAAGUAUAAACUAUCCUAGGCCUUCGCUUAUAACUUCAUUUGUGUGUUCCUUCCCAGAAUUUGAUUCAAGGUUCGCCCUACAGCCUUUUCAGCUGAUCCAAUUUCAUAGAUUACAUGGAUGCGCCAGUUCUUUUGCUUCUUCUCGCUCUGCUUCUAUCUUCUCCACUUCCAUCGUCUACCCUCGACAGUUUGAGUCAAGGCUCAUCCCUAUCAGUUGGGAAGCCUGAACAAGUUUUAAUUUCACAAAGUAGAAUCUUUUCAGCCGGCUUCUACCCCGUCGGUGACAAUGCUUAUUGUCUUGCCAUGUGGUUCACCAAACCAUCCUACGACGGGAAACAUACGGUUGUUUGGAUGGCAAACCGAAACCAACCAGUUAAUGGGAAUUUCUCAAAGCUUUCCCUGCUAAAAAAUGGUGAUCUUAUCUUAACAGAUGCCGGGCGGUUCAUAGUUUGGGCCACAAAGACGGUUGGGAUUUCUCCGGUGCGAUUACAUCUCUUCAAAUAAAAUACUUGACAGUGGCAUGUUGUGUUGGACCCUUGUAGUUGUUGGUUGUACAGGGCGGAUCCGCUUGAUUAGCUUUUGUAGCAUAUUGUAAGCAUGCAUGGCUCUCAAAAUCUUAAGAGACAGAAAUGAAAUUUACUCUAAUAAUAUAUAUAGACACGUAAAGAUAAAAAUAUACUAUUAUCCUUUUUCAUAUAGUAUUGUAUCUUGUAUAGAAUACAUAAUCACUUGAAGUAAUUGUAUUACCCAAUAAAUUGUACCUAGUUUUAGUGACGUAACCAACAAUUUGAUUUAAGGGUGGCAACUAUUAAUGCAUAUAUAGGCCUUAGCUCAAUAGUCAAGACUUGUUAUUGUUAAGGGAGACAUUAUCUGUCUUGAGUUCAAAUUCUUAUAUUGUAAAAAUUGAAUCUUUUAUUUUUUAGCAUUUUCAUGAGGAGAGAUGACCCCCAUAGGCUCUAUCUGGCUCUAUGUCAAUGCCUAGUUUAUUGAUCGAUGGUGUUUGAAUCUAUUUAUUUUUUAUUCUUAACAUUUUCAAGGGGUAGGUGCCCCUUAGGCCUUACCCAGCUCUACUUGUAUCUAGUUUAUUGAUUGAUGGUGUUUGAAUCUAUUCAUUAUAAAAUUUUCUUAUUUUUUAUUUUAGUUAAUAUUUUAUUUAAAUUGUUAAGCUUGUUUUCAAUGAUUAAAAUAAAUAAAAACAGCAUGCAUUAUUAAUUUAUUACGUCAAGUACAAUAAAAUAAGAAAAUAAUAUACUUGGCUAAAUAAGUUCAUUCAAUAGUAUUUCAGAAAGUAACUUUCAAAUGAUAAGGAAGUAACAAUAUUACACAAAAAAAAAAAAGUUCUCUGAGGUUAAAUUAUAUCUUAUAUUUAAUUAUUAAUAAAAAUAGAAUAGUCAAUUGUACUUUUAUUCAUACCUCAUAUUACUAUAUUAGAUGAUAAGCCAGUAUAGAUAGAUUAAUACUAUGAUUGGUUUCAAAAAAUUAUUAAGAAAAGAAAAAGAAUAUUAAGAAAAAUAGGUUUUUAAUAUCUUAUUUUAGUAUAAAAAUAAAAAAUAAGAUAUAAUUAAAAUUAAUUAAAAACUUACAUAUUUUUAAAUUAUUUGAUAUUUAUAUAAAAAAUAAUAUAUUAACUUAAAUGAGUUUAAGAUGGUAUAUAAAAUAAUUUAUCAGCUUUAAAUUUUUUUUUUUUUUACUUUUACAUGAUACUUAAAAAGGUAUAUAAAUAGAGAAACAGUAUACUAAAUAAAAUAAUUUUAUCUAUAUAUAAAAAUAAUUUAUUAAUUUAAAAUCUAUUUUUAUUUCCUUUUAACUUUUCUUUCCUUUCUUUUUCCAUAUUUUCCAAAUACUUCACAGAGCACUCCACUCCCUUUUUUUUUUUCUUUUUUUUUUCUUUUUUACCUCAAAAUUUCAGAAACCAAACAUAAAAAUACAAACACAGGUGUAAAGUUUGUAUCUUUGUGAAACUCAUGUAAUCCUGACCCAUGGGAACCUUCCCAUACAAUUAAUUUCCUGCAAAGGAAGGCGGCAGCAACAUGUCAUUGGGUGAGCGUCUUAGGAGACAAAAUCUGACCAGCGGUUGAAGGAAAAAUGCACAAUUUAACUUAUCUGUGGAAGCUUGCCCAGCUGGGUCGUUUUCCAAAACACGAGGCUGCAGCUUGGAACCUGGGGCAUUCAUAUUCCAUCAUCAUCAUUAUUAACAUUUUUAUUCCAUCUAGCUUUCACCUUCCCAUGGGAAUUGCUACCAUCCGCACAAGUCAAGAGCGACUUUGUCUUUUCCAUAAAUAUUAGUAUUAUUUGUGUGUUCCUUCCCAGAAUUUGAUUCAAGCUCAGCCCUACGGCCUUUUCAACUGAUCCAACUUCAUAGAUGACAUGGAUGCGCCAGUUCUUUUGCUUCUUCUCACUCUGCUUCUAUCUUCUCCACUUCCAUCGUCCACCCUCGACAGUUUGAGUCAAGGCUCAUCCCUCUCAGUUGGAAAGCCUGAACAAGUUUUGAUUUCACAAAGUGGAAUCUUCUCAGCUGGCUUCUACCCCGUCGGUGAUAAUGCUUAUUGUCUUGCCAUAUGGUUCACCAAACCAUCCUACGACGGCAAACAUACCGCUGUUUGGAUGGCAAACCGAAACCAACCAGUUAAUGGGAAUUUCUCAAAGCUUUCGCUGCUAGAAAGUGGUGAUCUUAUCUUAACAGAUGCUGGGCGGUUCAUAGUUUGGACCAUAAAGAGGGUUGGGAUUUCUCCGGUGCAAUUACACCUCUUCAACACUGGUAACCUUGUGCUGCGUACCUCGGAUGGUGUUAUUCAAUGGCAAAGUUUCGAUUCACCAACAGAUACCCUUCUCCCUCACCAACCACUCACCAGAAAUACGAGACUCGUCUCUUCAAGAACCAAAACCAACUUUUUCUCAGGGUUUUAUAAGCUCUAUUUUGACAACAAUAACGUCCUCAGUCUUGUCUUCGAUGGGCGGGACGCUUCAAGCAUUUACUGGCCCCCAUCGUGGCUUGUAAGCUGGCAGGCGGGAAGAUCGGCAUACAACAGCAGCAGAACUGCAUUACUAGAUAACUUUGGCUAUUUUUCUUCAUCCGACGAUUUUAAGUUUCAGUCCUCGGAUUUUGGUGAGAGAGUCCAAAGAAGAUUGACCCUGGAUAUUGAUGGCAACUUACGAUUAUACAGUUUUGAGGAAAGGAGAAAUAAGUGGGUUGUUACUUGGCAAGCCAUCACGCUACAAUGCAACAUUCAUGGAAUAUGCGGACCCAACAGUAUUUGUACCUAUGUGCCUGGUUCUGGGAGUGGAAGGAGAUGCUCUUGCAUACCUGGAUAUGAGAUGAAAAAUCGCACUGACCGAACUUAUGGAUGCAUACCUAAAUUCAAUCUUUCUUGCGACUCACAGAAGGUUGGUUUCCUCCUACUCCCACACGUUGAGUUCUACGGCUAUGAUUAUGGCUAUUACCCCAAUUACACCUUACAGAUGUGUGAAAAACUGUGCUUGGAAAUAUGUGGCUGCAUAGGAUAUCAAUACAGCUAUAAUUCGGAUGUUUAUAAAUGUUAUCCUAAGCGGCUGUUGCUCAACGGAUACCGCUCGCCUAGUUUUGUAGGACAUAUAUACCUAAAAUUGCCUAAAGCUAGUCUUCUUUCCUAUGAAAAACCGGUUAAGGAAUUCAUGUUAGAUUGCUCUGGCAACCGCUCAGAGCAGCUAGUAAGAUCUUAUGCAAAAGCCCACGAAAAUGAAGUGUUAAAGUUCAUCCUCUGGUUUGCGUGCGCAAUUGGAGCAGUUGAGAUGGUUUGCAUUUGUAUGGUGUGGUGUUUCUUGAUGAAGGCCCAGCAAAACACCAGUACAGAUCCGCCAGGCUACAUUUUAGCUGCCACGGGAUUCAGAAAAUUCACCUAUACUGAGCUGAAGAAAGCAACACGGGGUUUCAGUGAGGAGAUUGGCAGAGGAGGAGGUGGGGUUGUAUACAAAGGUGUCUUAUCAGACCACCGAGUGGCAGCCAUCAAGCAGCUCAGUGGAGCUAACCAAGGAGAAUCUGAAUUCUUGGCAGAAGUAAGUACCAUUGGGAGGCUUAACCACAUGAACUUGAUAGAGAUGUGGGGUUAUUGCUUUGAGGGGAAGCACAGGCUCUUGGUUUAUGAAUACAUGGAGCAUGGAUCACUAGCACAAAACCUCACUUCCAAUACACUUGAUUGGCAGAAGAGGUUCGACAUUGCGGUGGGCACAGCAAAAGGCCUGGCUUAUUUACACGAAGAGUGCUUGGAGUGGGUUCUACACUGCGAUGUGAAGCCUCAAAACAUACUCCUAGACGUUAAUUAUCAGCCAAAGGUGGCAGACUUCGGCCUGUCAAAGUUACAGAACAGAGGAGAAAUCAACAAUUCGAGAUUGUCGAGGAUCAGAGGAACAAGAGGUUACAUGGCUCCAGAAUGGGUUUUGAACCUCCCCAUCACCUCCAAAGUAGACGUUUAUAGCUAUGGUAUUGUGGUUCUGGAGAUGGUUACCGGCCGAAGGAGUGCUUCAAUGGCCAUCCACGGUACAGAUGGCAUAGGGGAACGUCAGAGUUUGGUGGCAUGGGUGAAAGGGAAGAUGAAUGGAGCAACUGCGGUUGCUUCGUGGAUGAAAGAAAUCCUAGACCCGUCGAUGGAAGGCGAAUAUGACAUGGGUGAGAUGGAAAUUCUAGUAGCAGUGGCUUUGCAAUGUGUGGAAUUGGACAAGGAUGAAAGACCCACCAUGAGUCAGGUGGUCGAGACGCUUCUCCGCCCCGAACGUGGAAACAAUCAUCACUACUAAUAAAUUAAUGCCUCGUAUGGGGCCCAAGUGAGGUGGCUUUCUGUACCUGUUCCGCCCAUUUAUGAUAUUUGUAAAAAGACAGUAAUUUUAAGUAGAAUAAUUGAGAAGCCGAAUCUUUUGAUACAACAUACAAUAUAAUUAUAUUGAAGUAUCUUUUUAAAAGAUACAACUUGGUUAUAAAUUUUAAUGUCAAUCUUCUCGAAUGUUAAGUAAAAAAUUGUUUAAUUUUUUUAGAAAAUCUUUAAUAUUAUGUCACUAUAUUUAAAGUAUUUUUUAAGAGGUUAUCAAAAUUUGAUAUUAUUUUUUAAUUCAAAUUUAUAAUUAUAAUUUAUAAAUAGUUUUUUAAUUAUUAUAAAAUACCGGACUUCUUACUAGAUCAAUUAGAAUGGACGAUCAUCUAUUCCUCUAUAUCUCUUCAAUAUUGUUGCUAUCCUCCUCCCAACUUUAUAUAAAAUAAAAAUUUUACUAAUAAAUAUUACAUGGAAUUUUGUUCCCAAUAUCUCUCCUUCGUACUCUUAUCUUAUUAAACUCUUCUUUUACAAUAUUAAUUGAUAUAUUUUAGGUAUUUGUAUGUUAGUGAAUUAAUUUAAAUAUCGUAGGUUUUGACUUUUGGGACAACCAUUUUAGAGAGCUCAUACAUCACGCACUACCACCUCAACCUUCUUUGACAUUCAUUUAUUUAUUUUUAUUACCUUUCGAUCGGUGAUAUCAUUGCUUAGGAACAAUAAUUAUUGUGAAGGCAUUUUAUCUUUUUCGUUUACCCAAGAAUAAUCAUACUAAUAUAAACAAAUAAUUUUGAUCAUGCACAAAUAAAUAUAUUUUUAUAAAAUUUAGAUUUAAUUUUUUAGUAUAUGACAUAGAUUCUUCUUCUUCUCCUUUGCUAAAUCUCAUGUGGUUGGAUUUGGAGCAUCGACUGUACGUAUUAUUCAAUUGUGAAAGACAAAUUUCAUUGAGUUGAAAGACCAAUGGGCCAUGGACGCAAUGCUUGCUUCACUUAAUUUUUUAAAACUCGUUUUUAGUAGUACAAAUUUUUUUAUUAUAUAAAGUAUUGAUGUUAUUAUCUUUUUAUAUUAAUUUUAUUUUUCUUCCAUUUUUUAUAUUGAUUUUAUAAAAACAUAUCUUGGGAUAUUAUUUCACUAAAAACAUAUCAUAUGCAUAACCGUUUAACAUGCAAUUUUUUCAUACAUAAUCAAAGAUAGACUUUUUUUUCCUUUUACUUUUUUUCCUUCUUUUUUUUUUUUUGGUAUUUUGUCGUAAACAAACACGGUCUUAGAAUUUAAUCACAAACAAAGUAUUAUGUUACUUUUAAUCAAAUUUAAGGACUUGGCAUGCCUGUCAUGUACUUUAGACACAAAUGAAAAGUUUGAGGUCUCCUAUUGAAAAUUUAAUUCAUUCCAGUAUACCAUAUUAUUAUUAUUAUUAUUAUUUUGGUGAUCAUGGGUAUAAAUAUUACUAGGAAAAAAGGCAAAUUGACGUAAUAGAAGGCCUAACGGCUCAUGUUUUGUAUUUAUUUAAAUUAGUAUUUAUUAAUCAUUUAUUGAUGUGAUAAAAAAUUUGUAAUUCAAAAUUUGAUUUUAUCAAGUGAAGUACCCGAUAAACAGAAACGGAGGAACCUAAAGGGAGGGAAAAAAAAAAGGUGAAAUGAAGACACAUCCAAAAACCCUAAUGGCCUAUUGUCACACCCUCGAAAAUCACCUUAAAUUUUUCUUACGAGUGCGUGGUGCUAAGGACCCGUCCUUAGCCAACCUUCCCUUCCCAACGUUUAGAAGAACAGAAUAGAAUACAGAAAUCAAAGCAACAGGGACACACGAGGUUGCAGGAAAAUCCUUUCCCAACUUGUAUUAAUCACUCUUACAAGACAAAAUUGCUUCUUGAACUAGAGUACAAUGCACUUACCCAAGGCAUACAAGAAGGAAUCCUUUCCCCAACUCUCACCCUCUGUUUCAAGGCUGCAGGAGCCCUAUUUAAAUGACUCAUCUACAGUUACACAUUUGAAUUCCCUCAAUUCAAAUCUUGGAGCCAACUAGGUGGUCAUGCAACUGGCCAGAACUGCCCUCAACUGCUUGCACAACCACCCACUGUGGAUUCGGCUCCUUGCGACACGUGGCAUCGCGCAUUUCACCCGGACGGAAAUUCUCCCUUAUUCCACCCGAAUAUCUCAUAUCCGGAAUUCUGUCCGCUGACGUUCCACUCGGAUAUCUCACAUCCGGCGCCUGUCCGCCGCCGUUCCACUCGGAUAUCUUACAUCUGGCGCCUGUCCACCGUUGUUCCACCCGAAUAUCUCUCAUCCGACGCCCCAUGUCAUCGGAUAGGAGAGGAGGACGAUUCAACUUCCCCAGGUAGACAUGUCCGAAUCCUUUGGUAACGCCUAUUCGGGGUGCGCGCAUGACUUGUCCACGAUCCCCACACUUAGCUCCUGGGGUUUGAACCACAAAACCUCCAGGCUUUCCUUGCUUUCCACCUAGGCUCUCAUAGGUGCAAGACCUACCCAUGAGGCUUAUUUCUCCGGGUUUGAAUCAAGUGGAUAAGGGGUUGACACAUAUCCCCUAAAAAUUCUAGCUUUAGAAUUAUUGUCCUAGAAGAAAAAGACGAGCAAGUGUUUUCUCACAUCAUGGAGUUACUAUAUAACGUUAAAAAACUAAAGUAUUGUUUGUUUUCUUAAUUUUUUAUUUCGGUUUUUUUUAAACCUUUCAUUAACUUAUUAUUUACUUCUUAAAUUUUUUUAUUAAAUAAAAAAUUUUAAAUAUAUAAAAUUUUUAAAUAUUGAAAAUAAUUCAUUAAUUUUUCUUUACUUAUUUAAUAAAAAUAAAAUAUAAAAAAUGAACAAUUUAAUACUUAAUAUUAUUAAAUACUAUUUAAUUUUAAAUUUUAUUUAAAAUUAAGUUAAAAAGAAACACCAUUUAAAUGUCUUCAUUGUGUGUUGGACAUUAUCAACUCUACUCUUUUAUAAAAAAAUUUAUUUUAGGAAAUUUUAGUUUCCAAAUGAAGUAGGUUUAUAAACAUAUCAAUUGCCUUAAAUUUAAUUGAAAUAAAUAAACAAUAAAAAAACACUUGAAUUGAUUAAGGAACAAUUUUUUUAUGCCAAGGGAAGAUGGUGGUGAUAUAUUGAUUUGAGUAAGGAUUUCAUAAUUUCUCAAAAGAAAGAGAAAGAGGAAAAAGCAAGAUUUAUUAAAAGAUAGAUACAUUAGGAUAUCAUAUUCGAAUUUAGUAUUUUUGUUUUCUCUUCUUUAUAAAACUAAAUAAUAGAAAUCAAAUACUUUUACCAACUUCGCAUACUGCACCGUUUCGUUUUUCACUUCGUCUAAUUUUACCUUCAAUUCAUUUGUUUCCUAUUUUAUUUCUUGAAACAUGUAUUGACUAAAGCCUCUGUACCAAUGUUUCAGGACAUGGAGAGGUAGCCGUCCUCCUCCGGCCUCUCCUCCGGUCACAUAAGCUUCUCAACUAUCUGGCUCAUCGUGGGUCUUGAGUCCCUGUCUUCCUCCACACAUUCCAAGGCAACUCCAAUCAGAAUUUCCAUCCGGCGCAGGUCGCAUUCGCCUUGCAUCACAGGGUCCAGGAUGUCUUCAAUCCACGACCCCCUGGCACCAAUCCCAUUCAUUCGAUCCCUCACCCAUUUAAUCAACCCACGCUGCUCUGUCUCUCCUUGGGCAUCAGUAUCGGGGAUAGCAGUUGGGCUCUUCCCUGUCACCAUCUCCAAAACCACGAUUCCAUAGUUAUAAACGUCUACCUUGGAGGUUAUGGGAAGGUUGAAUACCCAUUCAGGAGCCAUGUAUCCUCUGGUUCCUCUGAUCCUCGAGAAACUUGAAUUGUCAAGCCCUCCUCUGUUUCGCAGUUUCGACAUCCCAAAAUCGGCCACUUUUGGCUGGUAAUUAGAGUCCAAGAGUAUGUUCUGAGGCUUGACGUCACAGUGCAGAACCCACUCCAAGCAUUCUUCGUGUAAAUAAGCUAGGCCUCUGGCCGUGCCAAGCGCUAUUUGGAACCUCUUCUCCCAAUCAAGAGUAUUGGAAGAUAGCUUUUGUGCCAAGGAUCCAUGUUCCAUGUACUCAUACACCAACAGCCGGUGCUUCCCCUCUAUGCAAUAUCCCCACGUCUCUAUUAAGUUCAUGUGAUUAAGCCUUCCAAUGGUGCUCACUUCUGCUAGAAAUUCUGCUUCUCCUUGAUUGGCUUCUUUGAGGCGCUUGAUUGCUGCCACUCGACGAUCAAGCAAUACACCUUUAUAUACCACUCCUCCACCUCCUCUUCCAAUCUCUUGGGUGAAACCUCGCGUGGCCUUCUUCAACUUUGCAUAGCUGAAUCUUUUAAACCCGUUUGCAACGAGGAUGUAGCCUUGCAUGGUCGAGACUGGAUCAUGGUGUACCCUAAAUAAGAAAAGCCAUACCAGCAAGACAAUUGCCCCCUCUAGAACUCCCAGUACGUAGGCAAACCAAAGCAAAAACUUCAAUGACCCAUUUUCAUGGCCCUUGCGAUAUGUUGUAUCUAGCUGUAUAUAACGAGUGUUGCCUGAACAAUUCAUGGUGAAUUCUUCAAGAGUGUUGGAAAUCAAGCCAGCAUCCUCUGUUUACUUCCCUAAUUAGUGUAAUGUACAGCCUUUAUUAUAAUUGAUUUAGGAGUAAUUCUAGCAAGGUAGUUUAUUCACUUUCCAUGUAAGAGUAGUUUAUUCACUUCCCAUGUAAGAGUAGUUUAUUCACUUCCCAUGUAAGAGUUUAUUCACUUUCCAUGUAAGGGAAAUUCCAUUCCGGAAUUGUCUCAUAUCUGUAGGCUAUUUAUUUAUGCUUUCAUUCAUUGUAAAGGGUGAGAUCACGGAAUGAAUUGAGGUGUUCCUCCAUAGUUUGUCUUCAAAUUCUUCAUAUUUUUCUUCAAAUUCUUCAAAGAUGAUCAUAUCUGGGAAAGAGACUAGCUUUAGGCAGUUUUAGAUACAUGGUUCCAGGAUAAUUUGGCGAACUGAAUCCAUUAAGCAAGAGGGUAUUUGGGUAACAAUCGUAAAGGUCGUCGCUAAAAUUUAGCAGGAAGGCCUUGCAUUUGCACAACUGUAAGCAUAGAUUUUCACACCUUUCGUAGGUGUAAUUGGGGUAGUGACCAUAGUCAUAGCCGUAGAGUUGAACAUGAGGGAGUGGGAAGAAGCCCACCUCAGUUUGGUUACAAGCGAUAUCAGUUUCUGGUGCACACCCAUAAGACUAGUCAGUUGAAUUUACAAUCUUGAAUCCAGGCAUGCAAGAGCAUCCUCUGCCAUAAGCAGGGGUGUAACUGCAGAGACUAUUGGGUUCGCAGAUGCCAUGAAUCUGGCAUGGUUGGGAGAUAGCCUGCCAUGAAACCGACCAGGUUCCUCUCGUUUCUUCUAGACUAUACAUUCUAAGAUUGCCAUCGAAAUCGAGGGCCAAUCUUCUCUGAGGCCCUGCACCAAAAUCCGCUGACCGAAAUUCCAAAUCAUCUGAUGCUCUAUAAUAACCCAAAGAAUCGAAUACUGCGAUUCGACUGUUGUUGUAUGUGCUCCUUCCAGCAUCCCAGGUCACCAGGCUUAGGUCUGGCCAAUAGAUGCUGGAAACCUCAGUACCAUUGAAGAGAAGGCGGAUGACGUUAUCACUGUCAAAAAAUAGCUUAUAAAAACCAGAAGAAUAGUUGCUUUGGCUUCUUGAGGAGAUAAGGCUGGUAUCUUUGGUCAGUAUCUGGUGAGGAAGAAGAGUAUCUGUGGGUGAGUCAAAGCUCUGCCAAAUCACCGUCUUCUCCCAAGCAUAUAGAACAAGAUUGCCGGUGUUAAGGAGCUGUAAUCUCGCAGAUGAGGUUGAAACUGUCACGCCCCAAGACCCACUCCAAGGGCGUGACGGUCAUUUCACACCUCAAACCCGAAGGCUUAAAGUAUAAUCUGACCCGAACAAUCAUAUUAUAACUAGAUGUUACCAAUUACCAAAUACCUGUUCAGAGUAGCAGAACAAAAUCUAAAUUCCUCAAAAUUCAAUUUCCAAAUAACUUCCAAAUAUCAAAUGAUCCAAAUGAACAUAACUAACAGUUAAACAAAAUCCAACAUAAAAUCCUAAGUCAAAUCUUAAUGAUGACCAUUCUUCAGCCUAGCCAUCACUCCUCACCCGAACUAAGAGUACCUGAAAAUUUUCAACAAUUGGGAAUGAGCUCACAGCCCAAUAAGGAAUAUUAAUGCAAUUCAUGGAUCAAAUAUUUUCAUUUCAAAUAGGAGAUAUCAAUUUUUUUUUUUCUCAUCAAAUAUCAGAGUUCCAAAAAUACCAAUAUAUUCAAAAUUCAACCAACCAAUUUCAUAUCAAAUUCAAACACUUUCACAUAAAAUUCAAUCAAAUUCAUUCAAGUUUCAUUACUCUGGUUAUCAAAUAUCAAAUGCCCAGUUAGGUGGGACUUUUCAAAUGGGUGGCUAGCCUCAAAUUGUUCCUGGUGGACGGAACCUAAACACNNNNNNNNNNNNNNNNNNNNNNNNNNNNNNNNNNNNNNNNNNNNNNNNNNNNNNNNNNNNNNNNNNNNNNNNNNNNNNNNNNNNNNNNNNNNNNNNNNNNCCGAACUAAGAGUACUGAAAAUUUUCACAAUUGGGAAUGAGCUCACAGCCCAAUAAGGAAUAUUAAUGCAAUUCAUGGAUCAAAUAUUUUCAUUUCAAAUAGGAGAUAUCAAUUUUUUUUUUUCUCAUCAAAUAUCAGAGUUCCAAAAAUACCAAUAUAUUCAAAAUUCAACCAACCAAUUUCAUAUCAAAUUCAAACACUUUCACAUAAAAUUCAAUCAAAUUCAUUCAAGUUUCAUUACUCUGGUUAUCAAAUAUCAAAUGCCCAGUUAGGUGGGACUUUUCAAAUGGGUGGCUAGCCUCAAAUUGUUCCUGGUGGACGGAACCAAACACUACUAGUACUAGUAACCUCUAACCAAACCCCUAGAGGCUGGGGUCCAAAUCAAUUACAUUCCCACCAUGAAAUGUAAAGGUCAACUAUUAUAUCCCGUUGAUAGGGCCGAAUAGUCAAUUAUUAUAUCCCGUUGACAAGGGUCAAAUAAACCAGAGUGAUGUUUUUGUUCAAGUUUUCAAAUUUACACAACAUAAUAUCUCCAUAUUUUGUGUCAUAAAUAAAACAAAAUAUUCCAACAUAACAUUUAGUGCAAAACAAUUUGAUCCAUGCAUGGUAACAAAAUAUCAUUUUCUUUUCCACAAUUCAAAAUAACAUAUAAGAUAAUUUAAUUUUAUAAAUAUUACAUUAACUUCCCUUACCUCAAAAGAAGUCCUUGAAAGCUUGGGAGAAGAAUAAUUCUGAAAAAAAAAAUAUAAUCUACUCUUCACCUAAUAUAACAUAAAAGAAACAAUUAUUACUAUUUAUUUAUAAUUUAACUAAUCUAUUCCUUAUUAAAAAAAAAUUAAAAAAUUCCCAAUUGGUUUUUAAUAUACCAUUACUAAUUUAAUUAAAUAAUACCUUUAUUUGGCUAUAAAAUUCUAUAUUUAUAUAUUUAUAUAUGGCUAAUUUUCUUUUUCUUUUUUUACCAAAAAUACCAUUUUUAUUUUUUUUUUAUUUAAAAAUUUAAAACUAAUUUUUUUUUUUUAAUUACCCAAUUCCAACCCAUCCACCUUGGGGUACACCAAACCAAAAAGCAAGUUUUUAUUUUUAUUUUUUAUUUUUUUUUCAUUCCCAACCAGGAUCCAUUAAUAUAUAUAUAUAUAUAUAUAUAUAAAAGGGGCUUCCUGGCACACGCACCUUUUUUUUUUUUUUUUAAUAAAAUUAACCCUAACCUAAAAUCAAAACCUUCCAAGAAAUUUUUUUUUUUUUCUAAUAAAACUUAAGAUCUCCCAAAUUCCAAUACUAAAAUCAAAAUAUUAAAUUUUCACUAUUUGAUAUUAAAACGAAUUAAAAAAAUAAUCUAACCCUAAUCUAGAUUUGGGGUUUUCCAAAAAAAUAUAUCUAAUGUGUUUGAAAUUAAUCAAUGAAUCUAAAAUAUUAAACUAGGGGUUAGAAUCUUACCUAUAGAGAUCUGUUCUUCAACCCUGAAAUCUGACUCCAAUCUUACGUUCUCUGGAAUUCUACGAACAGGAAAUCUAUUCAGAAAAAAAGGGAAAAAAAUAAAAUUUCUAAUUUAUACCUAGGGUAUUUAUUCGUAAAAUUACACUUUUACCCUUCUUCCACUUUAUUAAAUUAAUUAAUUAAUUAAUUUAAUUAUUAAUAACAAUUUCCUAAAUUACCCUUAAAAGAAAAUGCUUGGGCAUUACAUCCUCCCCUCCUUAACAAAAGUUUAGUCCUCUAAACUUGACAUACCUGAGUCUUGAAAUAAUUGAGGAUGUUUUUCUCUCAUCUCUUCUUCUAACUCCCAAGUGGCCUCUCGGAUACUAUGAUUGCUCCACUGGACCUUUACCAACUUGACAACAGCAUGUCGUAGUACCUUAUCCAUCAUAUCCACAAUUUGAACGGGUACCUCUUCAUAGGUCAAGUCCUCAAAAUUUUGAAUAGGCUCCAACUCCACAACAUGAGAAGGAUCAUAAAUAUACUUCCUUAGAGUCGAAACAUGAAACACAUUAUGAACCUUAGACAAGCUUGGGGGCAAGACUACUUUAUAUGCCAAAGUGCCUACUCUUUCUAAUAUUUCAAACGGACCCACAAAACGAGGACUAAGUUUUCCUUUUCUCCCAAAUCUCAUCACAUACUUCAUAGGUGAAACUUUCAAGAACACAUGAUCACCCACCUCAAACUCCAAAUCUCGCCUACGAUGAUCAGCAUAACUCUUAUGUCUACUUUGAGCUGCUUUUAAUAUUUCUUUAAUCAAAGCAACCUUUUCAACAGUCAACUGCACAAGUUCAGGCCCCAAAAGUUUCCUUUCUCCAACAUCAUUCCAAUAGAUAGGAGAUCGACAUUUCCUACCAUACAAUGCCUCAAAAGGUGUCAUCCCAAUGCUAGCUUGAAAACUAUUGUUAUAGGCAAACUCUACUAAAGGUAAAUGAUCAUCCCAAUUACCUUGCAGGUCCAAAAUACAAGCUCUCAACAAGUCUUCCAAAACCUUAAUUACCCUUUCUGAUUGGCCAUCAGUUUGAGGAUGGAAAGCAGUACUAAAACUCAACUUAGUGCCCAAAGUUUUUUGUAGACUAUGCCAGAAUCUAGAAGUGAAACGAGGAUCUCUAUCAGACACUAUAGAAACUGGUACUCCAUGCAUUCUCACAAUCUCCUUCACAUAAAGAGAAGCUAAACGAUCUAAAGAAAAGUUCACUUUCAUAGGUAAAAAGUGAGCAGACUUUGUCAACCGAUCAACAAUCACCCAAAUAGCAUUAUUACCCCCUAAGGUUCUUGGCAAUCCUAUCACAAAAUCCAUGGUAAUAUGCUCCCACUUCCACUCAGGAAUAGCAAGUGGCUGCAAAGACCCUGCUGGUCGUUGAUGUUCAGCCUUCACCUGUUGACACACUAAAUACUGAGCCACAAAUUGUGCAAUAUCACGCUUCAUACCUGACCACCAAUAGUUUUGCCUCAAAUCCUUGUACAUCUUUGUCCCUCCUGGGUGGAUUGCAAACUUGGAACAAUGAGCUUCCUCUAAAAGCUCCCUCUUUAAGUCUUCAUCAUUUGGGACACAAAGUCUAGUCCCAAAUCUCAAGAUCUCAUCAUCUGACAAAACAAAAUCAGGCUUACUGUCCCUCUUAACUUCCUCCAUAACUUGCACUAAUUGGGAAUCAUUCUUUUGUAGGGUCUUAAUUCUCCCAACUAAGUCUGGUUGUACUCUGAAAUUUGCUACAAGUGCUCCUAAGCCCAUAACUCGAAAGUGGACUUGUAAACUCCUCAACUCUUCAAGUAACUGCCUUUGACAACCUCUAAUAGCUGCUAGAGAACCAACUGACUUCCUACUCAAGGCAUCAGCUACAACAUUCGCCUUCCCAGGAUGAUACUGAAUAAUACAAUCAUAGUCCUUAAGUAGUUCUAUCCAUCUUCUCUGUCUUAUGUUCAACUCCUUUUGGGAAAAUAGAUACUUCAAACUCUUAUGAUCUGUGAAUAUCUCACAAGUUUCACCAAAAAGAAAAUGUCUCCAAAUCUUAAGUGCAAAAACCACAGCAGCUAACUCCAAAUCAUGAGUAGGGUAAUUCCUUUCAUAAGGCUUCAACUGUCUAGAAGCAUAAGCUACAACUCUCCCAUGUUGCAUAAGAACACAACCUAAACCCUGAUGAGAAGCAUUACUAUACACCACAAAUCCUCCUGAACCUGAAGGGAUAGUCAAAAUAGGAGCUGACACUAAUCUAUUCUUCAACUCUUGGAAGCUACAUUCACAAUCAUCAGACCACUCAAACUUAACUCCCUUCUGUGUCAACUUAGUUAAAGGUAGGGCAAUCUUAGAGAACCCUUCUAUAAACCGCCUAUAGUAACCAGCAAGUCCCAAGAAACUUCGAAUCUCAGUCACAGUACUAGGUCUUCUCCAAUUAGCUACAGCAUCUACCUUGCCAGGGUCAACUGAGAUGCCAUCAUUGCUUACCACAUGCCCAAGGAAAGAAAUUCAGUCUAACCAAAACUCACACUUCUUCAGUUUAGCAUACAACUGCUUAUCUCUGAGGAUAUGUAAUACAAUACUCAAAUGGCCCUCAUGCUCCUCUCUACUUCUUGAGUAUACCAAGAUGUCAUCUAUAAAAACCACCACAAAUUGAUCUAAAUAGGGUUUGAAUACCCUAUUCAUCAAGUCCAUAAAAGCAGCAGGUGCAUUAGUCAAACCAAAAGGCAUAACAAGAAACUCAUAGUGCCCAUACCUAGUUCGAAAAGCAGUCUUGGGUACAUCUUCCCCUCUAACCCUCAACUGGUGAUAACCCGAUCAAAGAUCUAUCUUAGAGAACACACAAGCACCUUGUAACUGAUCAAACAAAUCAUCAAUCCGAGGAAGGGGAUACUUGUUCCUCACUAUCACCUUAUUCAACUCCCUAUAGUCAAUGCAAAGUCUCAUUGAGCCAUCCUUCUUUUUCACAAAUAGAACAGGAGCUCCCCAAGGUGAAACACUAGGCCUGAUAAAACCCUUGUCUAAUAACUCUUGAAGCUGAACUUUCAACUCCUUAAGCUCCACAGGUGCCAUCCUGUAUGGGGCCUUAGACAUAGGACCUAUUCCUAGUACUAGAUCAAUGGUGAACUCCACCUCUCUCUCUGGUGGCAAGCCAGACAAAUCCUCUGGAAAGACAUCAGGAUACUCUCUUACUAUAGGUAUGUCUUCCAACUUCAAAUCACUUUCAUUACUCACCAUACUAGCCAAAAAUCCUUGGCAACCCUUCUUAAGCAAGCUACUAGCACGCAAGGCUGAGAUCAUACGCAGUGGUCUGUCCACAUGCUUCCCUUCAAAGCUAAACUUAGGCUGACCAGGAAUACUAAAUGUCACUCUUUUCUCAAAACAGUCAACAGAGGCAUGGUAGGAAGCUAACCAAUCCAUACCCAAAAUCACAUCAAAAUCCUGAAGGUCAAGGAGUACUAAAUCAACUGGCAUUUCCCUAUAACCAAUCAUCACAAUACAAUUUCUAAGCAUUCUACUGGCCACAACAGAAUCUCCCACAGGAGUAGCAACAAUCAAAUCAAAGUCCAUGCUAACAACAGGCAAACCCAACAAACCAGCAAAAGAUACUGAAACAAAAGAGUGUGUUGAUCCAGGAUCAAUCAGACUCUAGCAAAUAAGGUGUGGAUUCGGAGAGUACCUGUCACCACAUCAGAAGUGGCCUGAGCAUCUCGAUGAGUCAUAGCAAACACCCGUCCUUGGGCUUUGGGUUUCUGUUUUAUCUCCUUAUUUUCCUCUUUAAGCUUCCCAGUGAUGAACUUACCUAUUCCUCUGAUCAAAUGUCCUUGCNNNNNNNNNNNNNNNNNNNNNNNNNNNNNNNNNNNNNNNNNNNNNNNNNNNNNNNNNNNNNNNNNNNNNNNNNNNNNNNNNNNNNNNNNNNNNNNNNNNNGUGAUAACCCGAUCGAAGAUCUAUCUUAGAGAACACACAAGCACCUUGUAGCUAAUCAAACAAAUCAUCAAUCCGAGGAAGGGGAUACUUAUUCCUCACUGUCACCUUAUUCAACUCCCUAUAGUCAAUGCAAAGUCUCAUUGAGCCAUCCUUCUUUUUUACAAAUAGAACAGGAGCUCCCCAAGGUGAAACACUAGGCCUGAUAAAACCCUUGUCUAAUAACUCCUGAAGCUGAACUUUUAACUCCUUAAGCUCCAUAGGUGCCAUCCUGUAUGGGGCCUUAGACAUAGGACCUGUUCCUGGUACCAGAUCAAUGGUGAACUCCACCUCUCUCUCUGGUGGCAAGCCAGGCAAAUCCUCUGGAAAGACAUCAGGAUACUCCCUUACUAUGGGUAUGUCUUCCAACUUCAAAUCACUUCCAUUACUCACCACACUAGCCAAAAAUCCUUGGCAACCCUUCUUAAGCAAGCUACUAGCUCGCAAGGCUGAGAUCAUACGCAGUGGUCUGUCCACAUGCUUCCCUUCAAAGCUAUACUUAGGCUGACCAGGAAUACUAAACGUCACCCUUUUCUCAAAACAGUCAACAGAGGCAUGGUAGGAAGCUAACCAAUCCAUCCCCAAAAUCACAUCAAAAUCCUGAAGGUCAAGGAGUACUAAAUCAACUGGCAUUUCCCUAUAACCAAUCAUCACAAUACAAUUUCUAAGCAUUCUACUGGCCACAACAGAAUCUCCCACAGGAGUAGCAACAAUCAAAUCAAAGUCCAUGCUAACAACAGGCAAACCCAACAAACCAGCAAAAGAUACUGAAACAAAAGAGUGUGUUGAUCCAGGAUCAAUCAAGACUCUAGCAAAUAAGGUGUGGAUUCGGAGAGUACCUGUCACCACAUCAGAAGUGGCCUGAGCAUCUCGAUGAGUCAUAGCAAACACCCGUCCUUGGGCUUUGGGUUUCUGUUUAUCCUCCUUAUUUUCCUCUUUAAGCUUCCCAGUGAUGAACUUCCUAUUCUCUGAUCAAAUGUCCUUGCUUCCCACAACCAAAGCAAGCUCCAGUCUCUCUAUAGCAUGGCCUACCCCCAUGCUUCUUACCACAAGUAGGACAAGCCCCAUCUAAAUUCUGCGCUGCCUUCCCUUUAUUCUGAUUUCUUCCUGAUGUAGACCUUCGCUGUGCUUGAUUACCAUGAGCACCAUCACUCCUAUUUCGCUUCCUUUGCUGUUCCCUAUACUGAUGAAGCUCUUCAUUAUCUUUCUCUGUUAUAAGGGCUCUGUCAACAACCUCUGAAUAGACACCAAGCUUCAGAAUAGAUAUCUUGUUCUUCAAAUAAGGCUUCAAUCCAUCCUGAAACUUUAAUGCCUUUUCCUCCUCUAUAGCAAUCAACUGUGGGGAAAAACGUGAUAACUUUGUAAAUUUGGCCUCAUACUGAGCCACAGUCAUAUCCCUCUGUUCCAAACGAAUAAACUCUCCCACCUUCUGCCACCUAACACUGUCAGGGAAAUACUUCUUGUAGAAAGCCUCCCUAAAUUGUCUCCAUGUUAUGGGUCCCUGAUCCUCCAAAAGUCUCUUAGUCAUACGCCACCAAUGAUCUGUCUCUUUAUCUAACAUAAAAGCUGCAUAAGAGGCUUUUUGCUCCUCAGAGCAAUCUAUGACACCAAAGAAUUUCUCCAUCUUAAGGAUCCAAGCCUCUGCCUCUGUGGGAUCUGUAGCACCAGAAAAGUAAGGAGGACCCAAUUUCUUGAAGUCAUCAAAAGAGCUACCCCUAGAAGAUGAAGACUGUCCCUGAACAUUAGUCCCAACAGCUCGAGCUUGGCGUUCAACUAAACCAACUAGUGUCCCAAGAUACCUAUAGAUCCCUUCUGCACUCACGGGAGGCAAACCCUCAAUUGGAGGUACAUCGUCAUUAGCCUGACUGUUUUGUGAAGAAGUUGUUCUUCUUGGUGGCAUGAUGUCCUAAAAUAAUAAGGCAUAACUAAAUUAGUCACUAAAGAACCAAUUAGAAAAUUUUCCAAUUAAAGAAAGAAUUGGAAUUUAUACUAAAUGAAACUAAAACUUAAACAAAUGCGUUACUCAUCUAUCCCUAAUCUAAACCAAUUCAAAUUCCCAUCAAGAUCAAAACCUAGUGCUCUGAUACCACUCUGUCACGCCCCAAGACCCACUCCAAGGGCGUGACGGUCAUUUCACACCUCAAACCCGAAGGCUUAAAGUAUAAUCUGACCCGAACAAUCAUAUUGUAACUAGAUGUUACCAAUUACCAAAUACCUGUUCAGAGUAGCGGAACAAAAUCUAAAUUCCUCAAAAUUCAAUUUCCAAAUAACUUCCAAAUAUCAAAGAUCCAAAUGAACAUAACUAACAGUUAAACAAAAUCCAACAUAAAAUCCUAAGUCAAAUCCUAAUGAUGACCAUUCUUCAGCCUAGCCAUCACUCCUCACCCGAACUAAGAGUACCUGAAAAUUUUCAACAAUUGGGAAUGAGUUCACAGCCCAAUAAGGAAUAUUAAUGCAAUUCAUGGAUCAAAUAUUUUCAUUUCAAAUAGGAGAUAUCAAUUUUUUUUUUUCUCAUCAAAUAUCAGAGUUCCAAAAAUACCAAUAUAUUCAAAAUUCAACCAACCAAUUUCAUAUCAAAUUCAAACACUUUCACAUAAGAUUCAAUCAAAUUCAUUCAAGUUUCAUUACUCUGGUUAUCAAAUAUCAAAUGCCCAGUUAGGUGAGACUUUUCAAAUGGGUGGCUAGCUUCAAAUUGUUCCUGGUGGACGAAACCAAACACUACUAGUACUAGUAACCUCUAACCAAACCCCUAGAGGCUGGGGUCCAAAUCAAUUACAUUCCCACCAUGAAAUGUAAAGGUCAACUAUUAUAUCUCGUUGACAGGGCCGAAUAGUCAACUAUUAUAUCCCGUUGACAAGGGUCAAAUAAACCAGAGUGAUGUUUUUGUUCAAGUAUUCAAAUGUACACAACAUAAUAUCUCCAUAUUUUGUGUCAUAAAUAAAACAAAAUAUUCCAACAUAACAUUUAGUGCAAAACAAUUUGAUCCAUGCAUGGUAACAAAAUAUCAUUUUCUUUUCCACAAUUCAAAAUAACAUAUAAGAUAAUUUAAUUUUAUAAAUAUUACAUUAACUUCCCUUACCUCAAAAGAAGUCCUUGAAAGCUUGGGAGAAGAAUAAUUCUGAAAAAAAAAUAUAAUCUACUCUUCACCUAAUAUAACAUAAAAGAAACAAUUAUUACUAUUUAUUUAUAAUUUAACUAAUCUAUUCCUUAUUUAAAAAAAAACUAAUAAAUUCCCAAUUUGUUUCUAAUAACACAUUACUAAUUUAAUUAAAUUAUAACUUUAUUUCGCUAUAAAAUUAUAUAUAUAUAUAUAUAUAUAUAUUGCUAAAUCUCUUAUUCUAUUUAUUACAAAAAUACCAUUAUUACUAUUAUCUUAUUUAUAAAUCUAAAACUAAUUAUUAUUAUUUAAUUAACCAAUUCCAAACCACUCAACCUCGGGUACACCAAACCAAAAAGCAAGUUUUUAUUUUUAUUUUUUAUUUUUUUUCAUUGCCAAUCAUGAUCCAUUAAUAUAUAUAUAUAUAUAUAAAAGGGGCUUCCUGGUACACGCACCUUUUUUUUUUAAUAAAAUUAACCCUAACCUAAAAUCAAAACCUUCCAAGAAAUUUUUUUUUUUUUCUAAUAAAACUUAAGAUCUCCCAAAUUCCAAUACUAAAAUCAAAAUAUUAAAUUUUCACUAUUUGAUAUUAAAACGAAUUAAAAAAAUAAUCUAACCCUAAUCUAGAUUUUGGGUUUUCCAAAAAAAUAUAUCUAAUGUGUUUGAAAUUAAUCAAUGAAUCUAAAAUAUUAAACUAGGGGUUAGAAUUUUACCUAUAGAGAUCUGUUCUUCAACCCUGAAAUCUGACUCCAAUCUUACGUUCUCUGGAAUUCUACGAACAAGAACUAUAUUCAGAAAAGAAGGGAAAAAAAUAAAAUUUCUAAUUUAUACCUAGGGUAUUUAUUCGUAAAAUUACACUUUUACCCUUCUUCCACUUUAUUAAAUUAAUUAAUUAAUUAAUUUAAUUAUUAAUAACAAUUUCCUAAAUUACCCUUAAAAGAAAAUGCUUGGGCGUUACAGAAACGGUGUUGAUCAUCCAAACCAUGAUUUUACCAGCAUCAGUUAAGAUGAGAUUGCCAUUCCUCAACAAAGAAAGCUUGGAGCCUCUACCGUUGACCGGUUGGUCAUGGUUCGCCAUCCAAACUGUGGUUGCACCCCAUGAUUUUGUGAACCAUAUGGCGAAGCAGAAAGUGUUGUUGCCGACCUGAUAAAACCCAGCAGAGAAUAUACCAUUUGCUGAAAUGAGAACAUCAUUUGAUUUCUCCACGGAAAGAGACGAGCCUUCGCUCAGAGUAUCAUACGUUUCAGAUGAAGAUGGAUAGCAAGUUAACAGCAAAACCAAAACAAAGAAACCAACUGUCCUAUCCAUGAGUUUUGGGAUAUGGUUCAUGUGCUCUGUUUCCUGAUCAGAUAUUUGCAAUGGAGAAUGCAAGUGUAUGGUGCUACCAGAGUUUAGAAAAUCAAUUGACUCCUUGACUGGGGUGAAGGGGGAAAAUUCACAUUGCCCCUCGGGCCAAGUUUUGCUUGUGCCAUCGUGUUGGGUUUCUAAAAGCAUUUCAUGUCAACGUCAAAAUAUGGGAUGAAGACCCGCUAUUUUUAAUGGGAUCUAUUUUGAUUGGAUGACUUGGGCCAUUCAAAUUUUGUAGUUUCCACUUGGAACAACAAAAUUAUUAUGAGAUACGUCAUUUUGAAGAAAGAUUCUAGAAAUAAGAUGUUAAAUUGAUCUCUUUUCCAUGUAGCUGAACUCGUCAACUGUGAGUCUGAGCCAUAUGAUUUCUGUGCCAUACAGAAGCUUAUUGUUCCAAGUUGCCUGCUCAAAGGUUAACCUGUGAACAGUUUGGAUCUAAAUACAAUGAAUGUGAUGAAAUUUACUGAAACCGGGACUCUCUGACUGGCCUGUGGCCUUUAUGAGUUUUAUUUUAGAGGUGACGUCUGAUGUUGAUUGGCCCAAGCAGGGAAAGAUCAAAUGGGAAACGACGGUCACAACUUGUGGGGUGACUUUCCACUCACCAGGGAACACUUCAAAGAAAUUAUCCCUAAUUUUUAAACGCUUAAUUAUUGCGAUUCGAGGGGUAAAACAUUUUCUUUUAUUGAAUCAAGAUUGAAUUUAAAAUAAUAGUGUUGGUAUUACUCCCUCUCUUUUAUCCUUUUCUUAUUCUAUCUAAUAGUGGUUUUCUCGCCGCCUUUGUGGGCCAAGAUGAACUAAUGCUAAGAAUUUUAUUCAUCUGCUUUCUUUCAAGACUCACUUAUUGAAUAUAAUAUCUCAAUAAAUAUAGAACCAUAUUUUGAUUAUAUUGGUACAAUUAUUGAUACAACUGUUGGCUCCGCUCAAGUCAUUUUGGCGUGGACUUUUAGGGUAUGGUAGAGUGGAGCUUGUAUCACUACUAAUUAUUAAAAUGGUUAAAGGAUGUCUUUGUCAUUUUAGUGCACAUAUAAUUAUUAUUACAAUUGAGGGUCCUCCAAUAUCCCAUUUUUCCAAUUUUGACUUUUGAUCGGAAAAAAUUUAGUAUACAAGGAUAGGAAAAUAUGCUAAAUAAAAUAAUUUUCUCAUAUUUAGGUUUAUUAAAAAUUAUAAAAAAUAAUAUAAUAUAAUAUAAUUAAAAAGUUAUGUAUUUUUAAAUUAGAUAAUUUUUUUAUAAAACAAUUAAAAUAAGUUAAAUGAGUUUGAAAUUCCAUAUAAAAAUAAUUUAUUGAUUUAAAAUCUAUUUUUAUUUCCUUUAACUUUUUUUCAUAUAUUUUUUUUUUGAAUUUUUCAAAUACUUCAAACAGCUAUUUUUAAGUUUGUAUCUUUGUGAAACUCGUGUAAUCGUGACCCAUGAGAACCUUCAAGUCAUUUUGAUUAUAUUGGUACAAUUAUUGGUACAACUGUUGGCUCCGCUCAAGUCAUUUUGGCGUGGACUUUUAGGUUAUGGUUGAGUGGAGCUUGUAUCACUACUAAUUAUUAAUAUGGUUAAAGGAUGUCUUUGUCAUUUUAGUGCACAUAUAAUUAUUAUUACAAUUGAGGGUCCUCCAAUAUCCCAUAUUUCCAAUUUUGAUUUUUCAAGGUAUGAUCGGAAAAAAUUUAGUAUACAAGGAUAGGAAAAUAUGUUAAAUAAAAUAAUUUUCUUAUAUUUAGUUUUAUUAAAAAUUGUAAAAAAUAAUAUAAUAUAAUAUAAUUAAAAAGUUAUGUAUUUUUAAAUUAGGUAAUUUUUUUAUAAAACAAUUAAAAUAAGUUAAAUGAGUUUGAAAUUUUAUAGAAAAUUAAUUUAUUGAUUUAAAAUCUAUUUUUAUUUUCUUUAACUUUUUUUCAUAUAUAUUUUUUUUUUUGUAUUUUUCAAAUACUUCAAGUAGCACCCCAUUUCCUAUUUUCAAGUUUGUAUCUUCGUGAAACUCAUGUAAUCGUGACCCAUGAGAACCUUCAAGUCAUUUUGAUUAUAUUGGUACAAUUAUUGGUACAACUGUUGGCCCCGCUCAAGUCAUUUUGGCGCGGACUUUUAGGGUAUGGUUGAGUGGAGCUUGUAUAACUACUAAUUAUUAAUAUGGUUAAAGGGUGUCUUUGUCAUUUUAGUGCACAUAUAAUUAUUAUUACAAUUGAGGGUCCUCCAAUAUCCCAUUUUUCCAAUUUUGACUUUUCAAGGUCUGAUCGGAAAAAAUUUAGUAUACAGAGAAAAUAUGAUAAAUAAAAUAAUUUUUUCAUAUUUAGUUUUAUUAAAAAUUGUAAAAAAAUAUAUAUAUAAUUAAAAAGUUAUGUAUUUUUAAAUUAGGUAAUUUUUUUUUAUAAAACAAUUAAAAUAAGUUAUAUGAGUUUGAAACUCCAUAUAAAAAUAAUUUAUUAAUUUAAAAUUUAUUUUUAUUUCCUUUAACUUUUUUUCUUAUAUUUUCUUUCGUAUUUUCCAAAUAUUUCAAAUAGCACUCUAUUCCCAUUUUCAAGUUUGUAUCUUUGUGAAACUCAUUUAAUCGUGACCCAUGAGAACCUUCCCAUAACUACAAAGGAAGGUGGCAACAUAUCAUUGGGAGAGUGUCUUAAGAGCCAAAAUUUGACUAGCGGUUGAAAGGAAAAUGCACAAUUAUUGUAGUGGACAAAUACUUUUAACCUCAUUUGUGGAAGCUAGGUUGUUUUUACAAGGGAAACUUGUGUUCCAAGUUAGAUAUUUGAAAGUAAUAUUAUAUUCAAACCCCAAUUAGCUGGAAUAUGAGAUUUGACUAUUAAAAGAGAAAAUAUUAUUGUGUUUGUGCAUUCUAAGUUGGCUCUAUCUUCUAUGCCCAAAUUGCCCUUUUGUUUCUCUAGCUCAACAUCAUCCUAACCUCUUUGUCAACAGGACCACUAAAAUUAAGAAAAAACACUAAAUUUUGAAUUUUUAACUUCUAAAAAAAAAAACACCCGACCCGACCACUUAAUUUGAAUGUUUUCCUUUCUCAUUUGGAAGCUUUCUCUCAUCUUUCUUCAUUCAUGACAACCCAAAAUUUCUCCUAUUUCAAUUUAGAAACCCAAAUCUGAAACUCUAAAACGGUGUCAAAAUGCGUCUUUUGACGUGCCUCUGGCUCAGAUGCCUCAGCUAGGCGUUUGCCUUGAGCCCUAACCGUAGUUAACUCUCGUCUAGGAGCCACGAGAGUGCAAGAGAAUCCAAUAAAAAUGAAAUGGAGCUCGGGUGGAGAGUAGAUGCCCAAAAACUGAAACCUUAACCUCCAAAUGCGUCUUAGACUCGCAAAUUCAUAUCCAAGAUAGUUCUAUAAGACAGAAAUAGCACCAAACAUCUCUUUUAGACCACCGAAUCGACGAAGCCCUUGAAGAACCAAAGGAAACGGUGCAAAAAAUGAAGCGCGGGAAACUCUUAAAGUAUUGGGUCUUGACAAAAAGAAUAUUAAGAAAAAUAGGUUUUUAAUAUCUUAUUUUAGUAUAAAAAUAAAAAAAUAAGAUAUAAUUAAAAACUUGUAUAUUUUUAAAUUAUUUGAUAUUUAUAUAAAAAAUAAUAUAUUAACUUAAAUAAGUUUAAGAUAGCAUAUAAAAUAAUUUAUCAGCUUUAAAUUUUUUUUUUACUUUUACAUGAUACUUAAAAAGGAAUAUAAAUAGAGAAACAAUAUACUAAAUAAAAUAAUUUUAUCUAUAUAUAAAAAUAAUUUAUUAAUUUAAAAUCUAUUUUUAUUUCCUUUUAACCUUUCUUUCCUUUUUUUUUUUUUUUUUCCAUAUUUUCCAAAUACUUCACAUAGCACUCCACUCCCUAUUUUUUUUUUCUCUCUAAAUUUCAGAAACCAAACAUAAAAUACAAACACUGGUGUAAAGUUUGUAUCUUUGUGAAACUCAUGUAAUCUUGACCCAUAGGAACCUUCCCAUAUAAUUAAAGGAGAAUUACCCAAUAGGGUGGGCUUGGUAAAACAAUUACUAGAAAUGGUAGUCUCUUCUAAUAAUUCUUGGGGAGGAUUUUAAUAGGUUUAAUAUACCAAAACUGUCAUUUAACUAAAAUUUUUAAAAUUCAAAGUAUUUAAAGCACUUCACUUGAUUUGUCGAUACAAUUAUAGUACAUGAGUCUCAUAUUUAUUGUAAUUAUUAAUAUUCAAAUUUUAAAUCAAAAUUUUGGGUUUAACCUUUACAAUUAUAUAUAAUUUGUUAUUUAAAUUUACUAUUUAAAACAAAAAUACUUUUAAAAAGUAUUUUCAAAAUAUCAUUUAUUGUUUUUUUUACAUUUUUUAUUUUUAUUCUAAUUUUUAAUUUUAUUAAGAAAAAAAUAAGUUUUAUAAUUAUAUAAUAAAAAUGAUGAUUUUUUCAUAUAUAUAUAUGUAUAUAUUAUAAUUUUAAAUUGAUAAAUUAUGUUUUUGUUUUAAAUUCAAGGAAGAUAAAAUGUUUAAUUUUUCAUUCAGAUUCUUUAAAAAGAAUAAGAAAAUGAUAGAGAAUGUUUAAUAAUUUUUUAUUUUUAUAAUAAAAUAAUUUUAAAAAAUUUAUAUGAUUUUUUUUCCUUUGCAUAGUGUUUUUUUUUUUUUCAUAUAAAAUUUUUUUUCUCAGUACAUCGACUGGAUGAUGUUAAUAUAUUUGAUAUGUUGAAUAUUAAUAAGGUAUAAAAGGUGAUCAUCGAGAUUAUUACUUUUAUUAUAAAAUAUAGGUACAACAAAAAUAUGUUAUAAUUACCAUAUAAAUACACUUACAUUACAAUAAAACCUAAUUAGGAAAUUUUUGAAUUUUUUUAUAAAAAUGAUAAUUUGGUAAGAUCAUACCAUAUUUUAUAACAUACCUAUAUCAUAAAUAAUUUCUGAAACCAAAUGAAAUACUAAUUUGAAUUCACGAGACUUGUAGUUUAUAUAUAUAAAUGAUUAAAUAAUUUCAAAACACUAAAUAAAUGUUGUUAAUAUAUUGAUACGAUGCGUUAAUACCAACGGGGUAUGAAUAAACAUUUUUAAAAUUAUUCCUUUUGUAAUUAAAUAUAGAUAUGACAUAAAUACAUUAUACUUACAAUAUAAAUACGUGUUAUCAUUACAAUAUAUUACAAUAUAAUUUAAUUUAUUUUUAUUUAAUUUUUUCAAGUGUUAUAUUAUCCAAUGAAUAAUUGUGAGUUAUUCUAUUUAAUAGGUGUGUGUUAAUCAAUUGAAUAUUUACAUAUUAUUCAAUUGAUGAGUGCUCGUAAAAAAUAAUUAUUCAUUAUAUUAUGAUAACAAAGUUUUUAAUUAUAUGUUUUAUAUAUAAAACAAUAUAAUAAUUUUAGGAUAUGGUUUUUAUUUAUGAGAUAAUGAAAAUUAUAUUUUUUUAUAAGGUUCUUUAUAAAAUAUAGCAAAUUUUUAAAUAAUCAUUUGAUUGUUCAAAAGUUAAUAAUAAUUUUUUUAAGCUGAGAAAUAUAUUAUUGAUUACUUAUCAUCAUGCAUGAAUUCCACAACAAUCUCAAUUUAUUUAUAAAUAAUAUAAAAACAUAUUAUAGGUAAAAUUAUCUAUAACCGAGAGAGCCUUCAUAAUAAUUAGUUUUUUGGGCUACCCUGUUCGGUAAUUCUCCGUACAAUUAAUUUCCAGCAAAGGCAGGUGAGUGUUGAGGAGACAAAAUCUGACCCGCUGUUGAAGGGAAAAUGCACAAUUAUUGAAGUGGACGGAAACUUUUAACCUUAUCUGUGGAAGCUGGGUCGUUUUUCAAAACACGAGGCUGCAGCUUGGAACCUGGGGCAUUCUAGCUUUCAUCUUCCCAUGGGAAUUUCUACCCUCCGCACAAGUCAAGAGCAACUUUGUCUUUUCCAUAAAUAUUAGUAUUAUUUGUGUGUUCCUUACCUGAAUUUGAUUCAAGCUUAGCCCUACGGCCUUUUCAACUGAUCCAAUUUCAUAGAUCACAUGGAUGCGCCAGUUCUUUUGCUUCUUCUCACUCUGCUUCUAUCUUCUCCACUUCCAUCGUCCACCCUCGACAGUUUGAGUCAAGGCUCAUCCCUCUCAGUUGGGAAGCCUGAACAAGUUUUGAUUUCACAAAGUGGAAUCUUCUCAGCUGGCUUCUACCCCGUCGGUGAUAAUGCUUGUUGUCUUGCCAUAUGGUUCACCAAACCAUCCUACGACGGCAAACAUACCGCUGUUUGGAUGGCAAACCGAAACCAACCAGUUAAUGGGAAUUUCUCAAAGCUUUCCCUUCUAGAAAGUGGUGAUCUUAUCUUAACAGAUGCUGGGCGGUUCAUAGUUUGGACCAUAAAGAGGGUUGGGAUUUCUCCGGUGCAAUUACACCUCUUCAACACUGGUAACCUUGUGCUGCGUACCUCGGAUGGUGUUAUUCAAUGGCAAAGUUUCGAUUCACCAACAGAUACCCUUCUCCCUCACCAACCACUCACCAGAAAUACGAGACUCGUCUCUUCAAGAACCAAAACCAACUUUUUCUCAGGGUUUUAUAAGCUCUAUUUUGACAACAAUAACGUCCUCAGUCUUGUCUUCGAUGGGCGGGAUGCUUCAAGCAUUUACUGGCCCCCAUCGUGGCUUGUAAGCUGGCAGGCGGGAAGAUCGGCAUACAACAGCAGCAGAACUGCAUUACUAGAUUACUUUGGCUAUUUUUCUUCAACCGACGAUUUUAAGUUUCAGUCCUCGGAUUUUGGUGAGAGAGUCCAAAGAAGAUUGACCCUGGAUAUUGAUGGCAACUUACGAUUAUACAGUUUUGAGGAAGGGAGAAAUAAGUGGGUUGUUACUUGGCAAGCCAUCACGCUACAAUGCAACAUUCAUGGAAUAUGCGGACCCAACAGUAUUUGUACCUAUGUGCCUGGUUCUGGGAGUGGAAGGAGAUGCUCUUGCGUACCUGGAUAUGAGAUGAAAAAUCGCACUGACCGAACUUAUGGAUGCAUACCAAAAUUCAAUCUUUCUUGCGACUCACAGAAGGUUGGUUUCCUCCCACUCCCACACGUUGAGUUCUACGGCUAUGAUUAUGGCUAUUACCUCAAUUACACCUUACAGAUGUGUGAAAAACUGUGCUUGAAAAUAUGUGGCUGCAUAGGAUAUCAAUACAGCUAUAAUUCGGAUGUUUAUAAAUGUUGUCCUAAGCGGCUGUUUCUCAACGGAUGCCGCUCGCCUAGUUUUGGAGGACAUACAUAUCUAAAAUUGCCUAAAGCUAGUCUUCUUUCCUAUGAAAAACCAGUUGAGGAAUUCAUGUUAGAUUGCUCAGGCAACCGCUCAGAGCAGCUAGUAAGAUCUUAUGCAAAAGCCCGCGAAAAUGAAGUGUUAAAGUUCAUCCUCUGGUUUACGUGCGCAAUUGGAGCAGUUGAGAUGAUUUGCAUCAGUAUGGUGUGGUGUUUCUUGAUGAAGGCCCAGCAAAACACCAGUACAGAUCCGCCAGGCUACAUUUUAGCUGCCACGGGAUUCAGAAAAUUCACCUAUAUUGAGCUGAAGAAAGCAACACGGGGUUUCAGUGAGGAGAUUGGCAGAGGAGGGGGUGGGGUUGUAUAUAAAGGUGUCUUAUCAGACCACCGAGUGGCAGCCAUCAAGCAGCUCAGUGGAGCUAACCAAGGAGAAUCUGAAUUCUUGGCAGAAGUAAGUACCAUUGGGAGGCUUAACCACAUGAACUUGAUAGAGAUGUGGGGUUAUUGCUUUGAGGGGAAGCACAGGCUCUUGGUUUAUGAAUACAUGGAGCAUGGAUCACUAGCACAAAACCUCACUUCCAAUACACUUGAUUGGCAGAAGAGGUUCGAUAUUGCGGUGGGCACAGCAAAAGGUCUGGCUUAUUUACACGAAGAGUGCUUGGAGUGGGUUAUACACUGCGAUGUGAAGCCUCAAAACAUACUCCUAGACUCUAAUUAUCAGCCAAAGGUGGCAGACUUCGGCCUGUCAAAGUUACAGAACAGAGGAGGAAUCAACAAUUCGAGAUUGUCGAGGAUCAGAGGAACGAGAGGUUACAUGGCUCCAGAAUGGGUUUUGAACCUCCCCAUCACCUCCAAAGUAGACGUUUAUAGCUAUGGUAUUGUGGUUCUGGAGAUGAUUACCGGCCUAAGAAGUGUUGCAAAUGCCAUCCACGGUACAGAUGGCAUAGGGGAACGUCAGAGUUUGGUGGCAUGGGUGAAAGGGAAGAUGAAUAGUGCAAC
rnacentral:lncRNA from 1 species